rnacentral:lncRNA from 1 species
CCUCAAACGAUGCAAUUGGCCCAAUUCUUUAGGGAGAUGGCCAUAGAAAUGGUUUCUACUCAAGUCGAGAGAGAGUAGAAAUGAAAGAUUUCCAAGGUGUGGAGGGAUACUACCCCUAAGAUUCAUGCUUUUAAGUUUGGAAACAAAUUCAACACAAUGUUUUUGGAGUUUGGAAAAAAUUAAAGUGAAAAACAUACCUUCUAAUUUGUUGUCAGAUAGUCCUAUUAUUUCGAGCAUAGUUGAAUUAAAAAUACUUGAUGGAAUCUGACCUGCACAUAUAGUUGAAAAUUGAAGUGAAAAACAUACCUUCUAAACUGUUCAACUAAAAAAACUUUAAGCAUAUUUGUUUUUCCAUCAAAUUAACUAUUUUGCCUUGAAUGAAAUAAAAUGCUCUUACUUUUGUUAUUUAUUACUAAUCAAACUCUUUUCUAAAAAAAAACUUUAAAUUAAGAAACUAAGAAAAUUCGGUACCUUCUAGGUUAUUAAACCCUAAAUAUAACUUCUGGAGUCGUGUUAGAUUUCCAAUACUUCUUGGAAUGAUACCCAUAAAUUGAUUAUAGGACAACGACAAAUUUUUAAGGUUGUUGCAUUUGCCCAUGCCAAAUGGAAUGUUACCAGAUAAUUCAUUCCAACUCAGGUAAAGCCCUUCAAGCUUGGGAAGAUGUUGACACAUAUCAUUAGGCAAACUACCUAGGUUAUUGUUGGAGAGAUCAAUGGUCUUCAAAGAAGAAAUGUUGAAGAUCGAAGUUGGAAUCUGACCUGUAAGGCCUUUAAUUGCUUUAAUAUUAAGCAAUACCAAAUCAAGAAUAUUACCGAUUUCCAAACCAAGAAUUUAUAGAAGAAACAAAUUUAACACAAUGUUUUUUGAGUUUGGAAAAUGUUAAAGUGAAAAACAUACCUUCUAAUUUGUUGUCAGAUAGUCCUAUUAUUUCGAGCAUAGUUGAAUUAAAAAUACUUGAUGGAAUCUGACCUGCACAUAUAGUUGAAAAUUGAAGUGAAAAACAUACCUUCUAAACUGUUCAACUAAAAAAACUUUAAGCAUAUUUGUUUUUCCAUCAAAUUAACUAUUUUGCCUUGAAUGAAAUAAAAUGCUCUUACUUUUGUUAUUUAUUACUAAUCAAACUCUUUUCUAAAAAAAAACUUUAAAUUAAGAAACUAAGAAAAUUCGGUACCUUCUAGGUUAUUCAACCCCAAAUAUAAUUCUUUGAGUUGUGUCAGAUUUCCAAUACUUUUUGGAAUGAUCCCCAUCAAUUGAUUAUAGGACAAUGACAAAAUUUUAAGGUUGCUGCAUUUGCCCAUGCCAAAUGGAAUGUUACCAGAUAAUUCAUUCCGACUCAAGUAAAGCCCUUCAAGCUUGGGAAGAUGUUGACACAUAUCAUUAGGCAAACUACCUGGUAGGCUAUUGCUGGAGAGUUUAAUAAUCUUCAGAGAAGAAAUAUUGAAGAUGGAAGAUGGAACCUGACCAAAUAAUUGAUUGAAUCCCAAGUUCAAGAUCUCUAGAUUAGACAUGUUAACAAGUGUUUCAGGGAUUGUGCCUGUAAAGUUAUUAUUCUUCAUUUCCAGCCUUCGAACUCUCUGUAAGUUCCCAAGCCAUGAUGGAAUUUCCCCAUUCAGACGGUUGUAGCUUAAUUGAAGGAUCCUCAAACGAUGCAAUUGGCCAAAUUCUUUAGGGAGAUGGCCAUAGAAAUGGUUGCUACUCAAGUCGAGAGAGAGUAGAAAUGAAAGAUUUCCAAGGUGUGGAGGGAUAGUACCCCUAAGAUUCAUGCUUGUAAGAUUCAAAGCUAUAACUCUUUUAUGGAGGAUGCCACAAGAAACACCAAUCCAAUUGCAAACAGAGGUUGAGGCCGUCCAAUUGUUUGCCAAGACAUUUUGAGGACCGGCAAUGCGAUCCUUAAACUCGAGAAGUGCAAACUGAUCGGAGUUGAGAUUCCUGACUGUCAUACCCCAGCAAAGUCCGGAACAUGGUAUGAAUAAAGCUAAAAGAAGAUGAAAGCAAGUGUUGUAGUUCAUGAUAGCAAGACGGAAUAAGCCAAGAAAAUAAAAAAAAGUAGGACAAGGGAAGUUGAGUUGAUAAAAUAGUUUGGAUGAUGAAGAAAAGCCCAGAGAGCAUGCUUUAAUAUGUUUUGAAGAAAUUUCAAAAUAAAUUUCAAAAUAAAUUUCAAAAUAAAAAUUUAAAAAGGAAAGCAAAGUUUUGAAGAAAUUUCAAAAUAAAUUUCAAGUCUUCUUCUUUAAAAAAUACGUACAAAGAGCGAAUUUUCAAAAUUUUUCCUAAAUUUUCUUCACAUUACUCCACAUAAUCCAUUAAAAAAACUUAAAAAAUAUAUUUUAUUAAUUACUAUACAUUCUUUUAUUUUCAGAAUAAUAAAUUGUUUAAAAUUUGCUAUUAGUCCCUAUAAUUUAAAAGUUAAAAAAAAUUCAAUCCUCCUACUUUUCUAAUUUAAAAAUUUUAGUUCAAUCAAUUUUAAUUUUAAAAUCUCUGUAUAAAAGGUGUUUUUUUUGUGACCGAUCACACUUAACCAAUAUUUAAAAAUUAAUAAAAAAUAUUUUUUUUUGAAAUUUAAAGUGAUCUAAAAACAUAUUUUUAAGUGCUUUGGACCGUCUAUUGUUGAUUUCCUUAUUAUAUUAAGUGUUUGCAAUCACUCCUAAUAUAUUGUGCUUGAGUUGUGACAAAGCCGAUCAUCAAAUUGCCAUAAUGAUCUAUUGAUGCUGAAAUUGAAGUUUUUGUUAUAUUGAUAGAGCUUGUCCUUCAACGCGUACAACGUGUUUGUUAUUUUUCUCCCUUCAAAUUGUAUGAUCUUAUUCAUUAAAUGAAUUAAUGAAUUUCCCUUUUAAAAAGAUAUAUUUUUAAAAAUUAAAUACUUUAUAAAAUAUUUAAAAAUUUGUAAGCCUUAAAACAAUCAACAAAAUAUUUUUGAAAUUUUAUAAAUAUAUUUUAAAACUAUAGUAACGCUACAAAAUAUAUAUAUUUACUAAUUAUAUGCACCUUUUUUAUUUUUAUUUCCUAACAUAUCAUUAUUUUCAACACUAUCGUAAUCCUGUUUUGAUAAUUCCCUUUCCAUACAUCCUUUUUCUACAUAGAAUUUCAAAAGAAAAUGUGAAUUAAUGUAAACGUGAGAAGACUUAAUUACAUUUAUUAGUUUAUCAAUCAAAACUUAAUUAGAAUCCAUCAAUAUUUCACACAUCAAAAACCCAAACAUAAAAUUCACUUUUAAAUUAUUUGAAGAUACAUUUGUAUUAUAGGAAAUCGAUUAAAUUAGUCUUUUAUUAUUAAAUGUAUUAUUUUAAUCUUUGUAUUAGGUAUGAAUGAUAUCUCCUAAAUUGAAGCCAGAGCUAUUCUUGAAAGACUGAAAUUAGGAUUCAGAUGUGUUGAGAUGGAAAGUGACAACACAAUGUUGAUUGAAACUAUUUGUAACAGGUUGACUACAAUAAGUAGUGCUGCCGAAGUAAGACAGAUUCACGAUUGGUGUUCCAAAAAUUGGGAAGUCAAAUUUAGACAUAUUCAGCGGAAUGCCAAUAAAGUUGUUGAUUGCAUAGCUAAGGCAAAUGGAGGCGUAAUUGAGCAGCUGGUUAUCUUGGAAGAUCCUCUGCAUUAUGUGAGAUGGUAGCUUGAAGAAGAUAUUAGACAGUCACUAGUGACUGAUGAUAAUUUUCAUUUGGACUGAUGAGCGCUUAAUUUUCUAAGCUUAUGUUCAACAAAAAAAAUUUUAACUACGUUUAAAUUGUAAUAGAGUUAACAUUUAGUGUUUAAAAAAUAUCUUAAAAAUUAUUAUUUUUUCCAAUUGCAGUUCAAUUCCACAAAUAUCGACGAUGAAUCCGGACAUAAAAAUUAUAGAAAAAAAACACAUCUAUUAUCAAACCAACAAUCCAUGUCUAAACUUAAAUUAACAAAAUUUGCCACGCAACGCCCAGUACACUAUUAUAUAUAUACUAGAUUUAUUCUAGAUGCACAUGUUUUAUUAUAUUUAAAAUUUAAAAUAUAUGGUUGACUAAGUGUUAGUUGAGUUAGUAUUGCUAUUAUUGUCAGUGUAAGGAAAUGUGAGUUUAAUUGCGCUCAAAUGUGUUUUAUCCUCCAAUUCAAGGGUUAGGAAAAGGUUAUUGAUAAUUAAGUUAUACCAACUUUUAUGAUAUUAAAAAAAGGAUUUAUAAAUAAUAUAAGGAAAAGAAAGAAAGAGAAACAUAUUCAUAUUGAUGGGCUCUUUCAAUAUUAGACUUUUUUUUCUAUCACAAGUAAAAAUAUCAAAGGUGAUAAUAAUUAAAUUAUAAAAUUUAAAUUGAGAAAAUAGGGGAUUGAGUUUAUAAGUUUUAAAGUAUAAAGAAUGAAUAUAUAACUAACAACAUAUUUUAACCACAUAAUAAAAGUAGUUAUGGUAAAAUAAUGACCUGAAUAAUUUUAAACGUCUCAUCCUUGCAAAAAUGAAAUAAUAGAAAAGAAAUAAGUGUUGGGUGUAGUGGCAAUGUACAUCAUACUUCUAAGGGGAGAUUAGGGUUUUAGACAAGGGAAGAAUUUUAAACUUGCUCUUUUCUCUAGAACUCAACGCAAACCUCAAAUUUAUCUUUUUAAAAGAAUUUAAAAAUAUGUAUAUAAAAGGUGAUUUUUUUACCGAUCACACUUAACAAAAUUUUAAAAAAAAAUGAAAUUUAAAGUGAUCUAAAAACAUAUUUUUAAGUGCUUUAGACCAUCCUGUGCUGAUUUCUUUAGUAAUUUGAUUUGUUCAAUAUAGAUUUUGGUAACUUAAAACAAAAUUAAUAAAAAAUUAUUUUUUUAGAUAUCUUUUUAAUGUUUAAUAAUAAGUUAAUUUAUAAAAUAUACUUUCAUUGGACACAGGGCCUCCAAGGCGGUGAACCACUAAUCAAAUUAAUUUUGAGAUACUUAAAUUUGUUUUCAUCAAUUAAGAAAUUAAAAAAAUUGUUGAGACCUCAUGAUUAUGUUUUAUAAUUUCAGGCUUAUCAACUAUUUUGAAAAACAACAAAACGUCUUACACCAAAAACUAAAAAAUAAAAACGUCGACAUUAAAUUUGUUGGCAUGCAAUCAAUUUUAAGAUGGUUUUUGGAGUUAUAUAUCACCUUAGCAUUGACUUACUUUUCUACAGUUUGUCUUCUCCAACAAGUUAAAUAUUUCAAUUUUAACAACAUUGACAGGUCUUUGGGGUAGGGUCGAGCAAAAUUCAAUAAAAACAGAUGAUAUAAGUUGAGUUGGCUCGGCCAAGUCGAGUCGAUUUGUUCAAAUUAUUUAAAUUAGUAAAUUUUAGGGUGCAAUUAGAAUUUUUUGUUUUGAGAUGCUAAUUAGAUUAAAAAAUUUCAGUUGCUAAAACAAAAAAAUUGUAUUUAAAAAGGCAUAAAUUAAAUAAUUAAGUUUUUCGAGUUUCCAUUUAAUCAAAGGUUAAAAGGACUAAAUUGAAGCUUUUUAUUUUUAAGAAAGGCUGAAUGACAAAUUGCCCAAAGCCCAUGGCCCUAGCUAUACAACUAACUUUUCUAUGAUUAGUCCUUGGUUUGCUUUGGGUGAAAUCUUCCAACUAGCCUCAUCCUUGGUUUUACUUUCCAACAAUUAGUGUAUCGCGGGUUUUGUUUUCUUUAAAAAAUAUUUGUGGAUAUUAGGAGAUAAUGAAAAUUAUUUUACUAUGAAAUUUUAAUAAAACUGGAAAAUAAGUAAUUUAUUUUAAGAGAUCACAAUUAAACGUUAGAUUUCCCCUUUUUAAAUUAUAAAUUUUUUUUUGACAAUUGCAUAAUAUUUUGAGCGUUGUAGGAAUGCCAUAAUAUAACCUUCCCUACGCAUAAUCGACUCUUGAGCAUGAUGGAUCCUAGACCUUCUCCUCUAUUCUCGUACCACAAAUUGCUUCAAGUGUGGGUUCGAACAAUCACAAAUUAAACGCAAAACCAAAAAUGAUUUAUUACUUUCAAUAGCAAAGUAAUUCUCUCUCAAUAGAAACCAAUAGAAUUGUAAUUCCUAGAAAAUAAAAUUUAUUUUUUGAAAAUAUAUUCUCACUACUUUCUAGCAGAAUAACAAUAUGUGAAACUUAUGUCUUGUGUUAAUAGCUCUACCAGUACUAUCUAUUUAUAGGGAGAGACACGAGAAUCCUGGUUGAAUUAGUAAAACACGAAUAAUAUUUAUUUCAUAGAAAACAAUAUUCCACCCUAAGUAGAUCAAGUUUGUAUGACGCAUGGAUCAAAGCUCAAUCUAGGAGAAAAAAAACAAAGGAAUUUUCUUUGUAAAGAAAAUUUGAGAUUGUACUAUUUUCAAAGUUAUAAAUAAAAUUAUACGCCAAAUUUUCAAGUCAAUUUUCAACUCCAAUUUUGUAUGCACAAAUUUCUAAUACACUUGGUGGGACAUUCUUUGACUUUUAUCUAUUCUCUCAAAAAGUUAAAGUUCAAAGUUACAUUAAACUCAAAGAAGAUAUUCAUUAGUAAACCACCUCACAAGCCUGCUCAAGCUAAUCCUACAACUCGUUCCACUUCAUCAUCAAACACCAAUAUUCUUGCUUAUCCUUAUGGAAUUAAACAGUCUCAUUUUCUGCAUUUUGGGUACACACUUAGUUUUGUUUGAUGCUAAAACAGUCCCCGAGCACUCCAAAACCUAUAAUUGAACAAAUAAUACUAAUUUAAUCUUACAUAACAUGAUCCCAAAUUGAAAUUGUAUCGAGGUUUUAACCCAUAAGUGACUAAACCUUACCUUCAACCGAUGAACAGUAAUUCCCACACAAACUAAGACUCCAAUUGGAGAUUACGAGCCAUUGAAUCCUCCCCUAAUUGGCAUAAACAAAACACUUCAAAAGAAAGUUAACAAAUGGAGACAAAUCACUUAUCUAAAACUUACCGAACGAUCACAGAAAAACGUGGAGUGACACGAGGCAGAGUGGGAAAAGAAAAAUCAAGAGGAUGAAGGGUGAAAGAGAGCAAAAAUUCGGUAGCAAUGAAGAGAAAAACAGCAAGAAAGUGGAGGGAUUUUAGGGAAAGUAAAAAAAAAGAUGAAUAGAAUAUUUGAUAACUACCCAAUCCCUUAUUUCUCUCUAUCAAACUCCCCACUAAAUCCACUACUCGAAUUUUUAGUCCAUCUCAAACUCUCCUGGACGCACGAGCAAAAAAUAAUGACCAUGCCAAAAUUUAAACAAAAGACCUCCUUCACACCAACACUCCACUUAUCCACCAGACCAAUAGGCUCAUUCUUUUAAUUAUUUUCCAACUUUUACUUAAAAGCCUACUGACCAAAGAUAGGGCUUAUUCAUAAAAAUACCAAAUUUUGCCCAAGACCUGGCUUGAACUUGGGACCUCUCAAACACACCCAGAACACAUAACCACUAAAGCAGACAGAAAUUUUGUGUCACACAUUCACAAUACCCAAAAUUAAAAUUUUAGGGCGUUACAAAAACACAUUAAACAAUAUCGCAUAAAACAAUCACAGUCAGAUAACAAUUCAGAAUGUCGAUUUUACAAUUUAACCACCAAUAGUAUCAUAGUAUUCACAGUUGUAAUUUCAGAAUAUCAAAUUUCCACAUCAUUCACAAUAUUCACACAUAUAUAAAUAUAUCAUAAUAGAAUUCUAGAUUUGUAUGCACAUGAUUUAGAAGAUGCCAUACAAUUUUGGGUUUUAACAGAAUAAAUCCUACCCCACAUUACAUACCAUAAUGGGAGUUCCCCUAAACUCCCUUCUCCAACACACUAGGUUGUGGAUAAACCACUAUUGGUUCACAAAUAAUAACUGUCAUUUGGCUGUGGACACAUAGCAAGUCCCCGCAAUUGGAUUCUAGAUUUGGUUGUGGAUUCACAGCAAAAAAAUCCUACAAAUGAAGCCUGCUUUUGCCUGUAGAUUAUACAACAUAUACCCGCAGUUGGAAUCUGUCUUUGGCUGUGGAUGCAGUGUAACACCUCAAACUCGACCUAGACGUUAUGGCUAAAUCUUAAUGAUUUACUUUAACUCGCUAGAAAGCCCACGAAUUUACUUUAAAAUCAUGUGGUUAAACUAGUGUUCACUUUGAUAAAUCGUUUUCCAGUUUUAGAGAAAAUUCUUGUUAAAACUGUUACUUUAUUACAAUAAAACAUUGAAGUAAUUGUAUCAUUUUGUAGUGGAAUCUACUAAGCUAUAAGGUUUUGAAAAUCGUGAUUUAGUUUGAAACAAAUCAUUUUGCAAAUAGAAAUUUAAUACUACUUAAUUUGGAAAAGCACGCUAAAACGAAAGCAAAGUCCAAAAUAAUUUACGGUUUGAAAUUCUAAAAAGCCCAAAUUAGUCAUAAAGUCUAUUUAAACCAAUUUAUCGAAAGUGUAACACCCUAAACCCGGCCUGUAUGUUAUGGCCAAAUCUAGAUGUGUUACGAAAAAAAGUUUAUAAAACGACUUCCUUGUUAUUGGCAAAUCAUCGUAGCCAUUAUUACUUAGUAUAUCUGAUUUGUUUGGAAAACUUAUUGAUAUACUUAUUUGAUUUAAAAUCGUUGCUCACUUACGCCUUUUUAUUAAACCAAAUAUUUUGCAGCGGAGUUUCUUUAAAACAUCAUAUUUUGGAAAAUCAAAUUGUUUCUUGAAAAUCGUUAUUUUAGAAAAGUUGUCAUUUUCAGAAAAAUUAUUUUAUCAGUUGUUAUGCUGAGAAAACAAAAUAAAAUCCAAAACCAAAAAUAGUCCCAAAAAGUCUAGAGAGUCCCAAAAUGACAAUACUCUUAAAACUAGACAAGUUUAAACUAAUUUUAAAAGAAUGAAAUUUUACAGAAAUGUGGACACCACUGAGCUUCCGUCGCACCGACCCACCUAAAUCUGAGGGUUACUUGAACAGAAUAAACAAACAGAGAGUGAGUUUUGAAACUUAGUGUCUAACGCGUAUAUAAACAAAAAUUCAGAAUCAAUCUCAUGCAGAACAGAUACAAGUGUAAACCUUUUAUAAAAUUAGAAUUAUACAGAUACAAAUAUGCAACAUCCUACCCUCAUCCUCUACACACCAACUCCGACCAUUCUAUCACACCACGUGGGGUAUAAAAUACCCACCCAGCCCUACACACCGUAUAGUAUUUAUAUGACACUUUUUGGAAUAAUCGCAGCAGAGUUGCCAGUAUAUAGGCGAGAUAUCACCUCACACAGAACACUUCCUCCUCAUAAUACAAAUCCCGCCCCAUAGCCAGAUACAGACAAAAUAUCAUGUAAAAUAAAUUAACAGAUACUAGAGUUAACAUAUCACGCAUGAGCGUAUAAUAGAUAUUACACAUGCUUAUGCAUAACAAAAUAGAUCAUACAUAUUGUAUUCCAUAAUACUCAUAUAAAUGUUAUUUACGUCAAUCUCAAUCUAAUAGAGUAGCUGAUUUCAUGCUUUAACUCUUAUACCACACAUACAGACCCUAUAGAAGGCCCACAGUUGAUCGAGACAACAUGUAUGUCCCUAGGGAAAAAAUUUGUAAUUUGGGCCCAUAUGCAUGUAUGAGCCCACACACCCAAAAUGGCCUUGCCCAUGUGGCUCACCUACCUAGCACUCAGCCCAUACGGUCCAAAAUGGCCUAGGUCGUGUGUCACACACAGCCGCAUGUUGCACACAGCCUACCACAUAGCGAGUCACAAAACCGUUUGGAGUUGACAAGCCUAAUUUUUGGCUUUCGUCAAUCGUCAUUUUCUUACGUUUUCAUUACACACUUGGUUUGAUUCUGACCCAAAAGCAACCCUAAGUCCACCGAAACCUAAAAAUAGCAUUCCAAUGCCCAAUUUCAGUGAACAUUUACAAAACUUAAACAAAAACUAUCCAAAAACAUAGCCUCACAAUAGCAUCCAAUGCACUCGCACACUUACCGUCAACGAAUAGGAAACACCCAACACUCAAUUCGUUGGCGGAGCACCAAUUAUGAUAAUGCAAAAAUUUUAUGGAUUCUCAACACUAUCGAUCCAAAUGUAAGAUUGAUGCUUUCCAAUUAUGAUAAUGCAAAAAUUUUAUGGGAUGGUUUACAUGAAUUUUUGUUGUUGUCAACGAUCAAUGUAUUCAAUAAUUAAAAGAAAAUAUUAGUCGUUGUUAGAAAACCAAUACUAUGAGUGUUGUAGUUUAUUUCAGUAAAUUAAAGGUUUUGUGGGAUGAACUAGACAAUCAUGAACAAUUGAUUUAUUGCAAGUGUGGACAAUGUUUAUGUAACUUAGGGAAGACGGAUGAACAAUGUCGUGAGCAUGAUCGACUUCAUCAAUUACUUCUUGCUCUCUAUUCUAAUUGUUAUGCUCAAACUAGGUUUACAUUGUUUUACCAAGAUCCUUUGCCUUCCUUAAAUCAGGCAUUCCAACAAAUUACUUAGGAGGAACAUGUACGUGGAAUUACACUGAUUAAGGAAGAGAAGUCUGAUAUUUUAGGCUUUGCUUUGCAUACAGAAGGUCAUAACAAAGGCCGAGCUAAUUGUAUUGAUAAGUCAACCUUGUUGUGCACUCAUUGCUAUCGCAAAAGGCAUGAGAUGGCUACCUAUUUUGAAUUACAUAGCCACUUGGAUUGGCGGCUUAAGAAGUAUGGGAAGCCAGAGAAGAAAAGUGAUGAUCGUGGUGGUAAGACAAGUGCACAUCUUCCACGUAAGUAUUUUAUUUCAAAGGAUCACAAUUAAACAUUAGAUUUCUCAUUUUUAAAUUUUUUUUAUUUUUUUAACAACUACGUAAUUAACGAGUACCAAUUUUGGGUGUUGUAGGGGUUCUAUAACUUUCCCUAUAUGUAAUCGACUCUUGCACCCUCUUUUUUUCUCUAGAAUUCAAUGCAAACCUUAAAUUUAUCUUUUUAAAAGAAUUUUAAAAUCUCUUUAUAAAAGACGAUUUUUUUAGGUGACCAAUCACAGUUAAGAAAAACAAAUCGGUGGCAACUCCUUUCUAAUAAAUGUAAAAAACUUUUUAAACAAAAUAAGGUUGAAAUAAUCUAGUUGUCGUUAUACUUUGAUAAAAUUUUAGAUUUAGUCCUUAUACUUAAAAGGUUAAAAAUUAAGUCUUGUUUUUAUUUAAAAAUCUUAGUCCUAUCGUUAAUAUUGUUUUUUUUUUGUCAAAAUUUGUCAAGUUGACAUAUUAAUUAGGUUUCUCUUAUAUAUCGUGGUAUAUGACUAACACAAAAUAAACAAGUUGACAAAUUCUACAAAAAAUAUCAAAGAUGAUAAUAGUUUAAUUAAAAUUUUUAAAUUAAAAAAGUAAGGGAUUAAAUUUAUAACUUUUAAAGUAUAAUGAAUGAAAUUAUUGAAAUACAAGAACUAACAACAUAUUUUAAAAAUAUUACUAGUAAAUUAUAUAUCUACAACAAGAAUUGUAACCUCUUAUAUUAUAUUCUUGUAUUUAUUUUUGCAUCUUUCAUAAUAUGAUUUAUUAAUUUUAAUAUUUUUAUAGAAUAAUAUGCUUUAAAUAGUUUUUUGUAUCAUUUAUAAAAAUUAUAAUAAACUUACAAAAUAAUUUAAUGAUAUUUAAUUAUUAAUCGAAAAAAAUGAUAUCAUAUAUAUUAUGUAUAUAUUAAGAUUCCAAAUCAUUAAUUAUAUAUCUACGCAUUAUAAUAAAUUCAUCUUUCAAAAUUUUCCUUAUAAUUAAAGCAUAAAUUAUAUUUAUAAUAAUAUAAAUAUAUUCUAUCAUAAAUAUUCUUUCAAAUAUUUUUUAAUGUUUAAUAAUAAGUUAAUUUAUAAAAUAUUCUUUCAGUAAAUUAACGUGAUGAGAUCGUUAGGUGCUUGGAUUUGGUGAAGGGGGAUGAAGAGAAAAGGGAUGGAAGUGAAUAAAAAUGUUGAGAAAUGGAAAGGGUUAGCGAGGGAAGCCGCCAUGAAAGGUGGUUCAAUGGAUAUGAACCUUCAAGCUUUUGUGGAUGAUGUUACUCAAGGUUGUUGCAAGUAAAUUUAAAAAUGUUUUUAAAUUAUUUUUUUGUUAAAAAAACAUUUUUUACUUUUUUAUGUGGCAUGCCACAUUAUCAUACUAUCAUGUGACAAUUUCUGGUGAUUUCUGUCCGCAACAUUAGUCAAAUCAACUGUUAAAUCGUUCAACUCACAGUUUUUGUUAAAUGAAGAGGUUAAUUGAUUUUUUUUUGGAAUCAUUGAGUACUCAAUUGGUGCACUUUUUUCAUAAAGGCUAAAUUAAUUUUUUAAUUUGUUAUUGUUGAAGGCUAUAGCAAUAAAAAAAAUUGAGGUAAAAAAAUAUUAGAGCUAAAUUUGUCAUUAUGCCUAAAAUGUAAAACCAAAUUUUUUUGAAAAUGAAAAAAAAUGGAAAAUCGCAAAUUCCGUCGCAUAUUUUUGCUUAAAAUUAUAGUUUUGGUCACCAAUCUUUUGAAGUAAAUAUAGGUCACCAAUAUUAUCAAUUUGUUACUUUGUAAUAACUCACCUUAAGUUAUACCCCGACGCACGAAAGGAUUAAAUGACAUUGGGAUACCAUCAAACUUGUAUCUUAAAUACACAUUUACCCCUAAUUUUAUCACAUUCUUCUUAAUUGGUAUUUAUGGUUUAGAAAAUUUUACAAAUAUAUUAUUUUUUAAGAAAUUAUAAGAAGAUUACAAAAAUUCCAAAAUAAUAUAAAAAAGCUAAGGAAAACCUAGAAAUUCAAAAAAAAAAACGUGGACAUUGAAUUUGCUGUUUCACAUUAAAUUUUUGGAGAAGUAGAAUUUUCUAACUUAUUUUCCAUCAACUUCACUUCAAUUUUCAAUCACAAUCUAUUGCAUUCAAGAGCACCACAUCUUUUGGGAUGAAACAAACCUCUCAAUUUUAAGAUAAACGGAAUCUAUUGCAUUCAAGAGCACCACGUCUUUUUGGAUGAAACAAAGCUCUCAAUUUUAGGAUAAACGGGUCUUUAGGGUUAUAAAUUGAGGUCCUUUUCCACAAUUGCGGGUGAUUCGUUGAUAAUAACCUCAACAUUUCUGUAUCACAUUUAAUUCAAUUCCACAUUCAAUUUUUAGUUUUUAGAGAGAUGAUUGGGUUACAACAAUGGUUUGAAGUGAAGAUAUUUCAAAACAAGAUGAAUACUCUACCAAUAGUCAUAAUUUAAAAUGCAGGUUAUGUUUCAUUUCAGCUAAGUUAAAUGUUAAGAUUGAGGUUAAACCUUUUAGAGGUUGCUCGCAAAAGGAUCAAACCUUUAUAAAAUUGUUUAAAUGAAGGUCAAACCUCUUAAAAUAGACAAAUAAGGGCCUAACCUUUUAAAAGGUGUUCAAAUAAGGGUUUCUCAAAUUUUGUAUAUCAGGUUAUGUAUUUUACUCUAAACACAUCGACAUUUACCUAUUUUUUCUAUAAAUUGGGUUGAAGUGCAUGAAAAAACCUUAUUUAAGCACUUCUGUAAAGGUUAAACUCUUAUUUGACUAUUUUGAAAGGUUUGAUCCUUAUAUAAGCAACCUCUAAAAGAUUGAGUACUAAUUUGACAAGAUUGAGAAAUACCUAAAUUUGUUUUCAUGAAUCAAGAAAAUAAAAAAGAAAUGUUGAGAAAUAUUUUAGAGAUUCUUAGCUUUGACAAGUUCCCUCCAUCAUCUUCCUGCCUCCAGUCCCACCUCUUCUCUUAUGCUCCUCCCAGCUUCUUGCUUUUUGUGUGUUGAAAUUUCAAAGGAACAAAAUAUCAACCUACAUCAUAAGGCACGAUUGCCAGAACUUUACUUUCUAGCCUGUCGAUCCGAUCCAAUGAAAGAAGAACAAAGAGUCUCAAGAUCUGUCAACUUUAUUUCAUUUUCAUUUUCUUUGUCAUUUUCUAUGUUUCAUGUCGAAUACAAUGAAAGAACAUAGAAAAAUGUUGCCUAUUUAUUUCCCAAUCAUCAUGAAAUUACUUGCCAUAGACUUAGAAUUUUCUCACCAAUUUUCAAGCAAUCUGACAUGAUUUCUCAAUCACAAUUAAUUGAAUUCAAGAUCUUUUUAGAUGACACAAACAUUUCAAUUUUAACACAAACCAAUAUUUAGGUUGUACUUCAGUGCUUGACAAGCACUUUCACAUUUGUGGGAUAAGAACUCUUAACAUUUUAGGAUCACAUUUAAUUCAAUUGCAUUUAAGACCUCACGAUUUUAUUCUAUAAUUUCAGUCUUAUCAGCCUUUUCGGAAACAAUAAAACGUCGACAUUAAAUUUGUUGUUGAUGCAUUCAAUUUUUUGAGGGGUCUUUGGAGUUAUAUGUGACUUUAGCAUUGACUGACUUUUUUAUAAUUAAUCUUUUAUAAUAUAUCAAUUUUAAUAACAUCGACAUGUUUUUUAGUAGGGUCUAGCAAAACCCAAUUAAAACCGAUGAUAUUGGCUUAGUUGACUCGGUCAAGUCCAUUAGAUUGAUAAAAUCAAUUUUAAAAUCAGUUAUAAUGGAUUAAGGUAAUUAAUUAUCGAGUAAUGAAAUACAUAAUCAAAUCAAUUGAUUUUGUUAGAAACUAAAAGAAAAUGAGAUAAGCUGAAAACUGAUUGCCCUUUAUUAAAAUUAACGAAUCCGCCCUUUACGUAUUAGAUAAUACGAACAUCACAUAUAUAAUAAGAAAAAUUACGUAUGAUUAUUUAUUAUCAUAAAAGGUUAGUUUAAAUUUAAAGUAAUCUAAUAUGUUUAUUGAACUUCAACUAUUAAAUAAAGUAUAAGCUAAAUAAGUAUAAAUAUUCUAGAAACCAUUUCUAACUGAUGAUAGGCUAAUUCGAUUAAUUUAUAAAAACUACAUAGUAGGGUUAUAGUCCUCAAACUACACCUAAUUUAAUAAUAUUUAUAGUUUUUUUUUUAGCCUUAAACAUUUAUAGUUUUUUGUUAAUUUGGUCCUUACUCUUUAAAAUUACAUAAAAAUUGCAAAAAAAAUUAAAAUUAAUUUUUUUUCAUAAUUUUAAUAACAUUUAUAGUUUUUUUUUUGUGUGUGGUUUGGUAACUUAUCAACUCGACUCUCACUUGUAACCAACUUUUCUAACCUUUUUCGUACCCUUAACCUAAGUCCCGUUACAACUUUCUAAAGACCUCUUUAUCAGUGUAUCAUGUCGGUUUGUUUUAUAAUGGUGGAGAUUUGUUUUUUGUAGUGGCACGAUUGCCAGAACUUUACUUUCUAGCCUAUCGAUCCGAUCCAAUGAAAGAAGAACAAAGAGUCUUAAGAUCUGUCAACUUUAUUUCAUUUUCAUUUUCUUUGUCAUUUUCUAUGUUUCUUGUCAAAUACAAUGAAAAAAGAACAUAGAAAAAUGUUGCAUAUUUAUUUCCCAUUCAUCACUCUAACAGGCCCAAUUAGCCCAGGCCCAAACAUUAAUAAAAUGUCUAGAUUACAAAAUAAUCAACUAAAAAUUAAAAGCUCAAAAAAUAAAAUAAAACCCAUUAUAUUAACCCAAAACCCCAGCCCAAUUACAUUGAAACCCAAAAAAAAAAUAGUUUUCAGAAACCCCUAGGGUUUCAGAAGCCCCUCAAUGUUAUUUUGUAUAUCUAUUUAUCUUUUUAAAUUUUCGAUAUUGUCUUGUUUUGUUUUUGUAUUAUUGUUGUUACCAUCAUUAUUCAUUAUUAUUAUUGUUGAUUUUAUUGUUCUUUGAUUAAUGUUAAUGUUAGAGUAAUAGAUGUUAUGUGAUCAUUGUUAUUAUAUGUUAUAAUUUGUUUACACUCGUAUUGUAGUCAUUUGUCAGCUUAAUAUUUUGAGUAAUAUUUUAAAUAUUACAUUAAUUUCGACCCAAAUGCAUAAUUUUUUAAUAAGUAAUAUUUUAUAUUUUGAAAUUUGAGAGAUCAUUCCCUAACUUACGGGGUCUCAAUUUUUUCGAUAAAUCUGAAUAUACUAACUAUUUUCAAAAAAUAUGUUUUAAAAUUAUCUCGGGAAUUUAAAAAGGAGCGUGUUCUAACUUACUGAAUAUGAUCUUUUUUUUAAAAUCGAGAUAAUCAAAUAACUUUCAAAUAAAUAAAUUUUCAAUGUUUAUUCUCAUAUCAGGAUUUAAAAUAUUAUAUCCUAACUCACGGGAUACAAUUCUUUUUCUCGAUUAACAUGAAAUAUGCCCGUUUUAAUUUUAUUUUUUAAGUGAUUUUAACAAAAGGAUUGUAUUUUAAAUCUCUUCAAAAUUUUCAAUUUUUCGACAUUGAGACAUUAACUAAUCAAUUAGGUACCAAUUUUGGGCGUUACGAGGGUGCUAACCCUUCCUCAUACGUAACCGACUCCCGAACCUAUUUUUCUGAAUAUUGAAGGCCAAAAUUGUUUUAAUAAAUUAAACCCUUAAGACGUGACCCCAUCACACCUCAUAAAAAUUAUCGGUGGCGACUCUCGUUUGCGUUUUUGUUUUCGUUUUCAAAAUAAAAGUCGACCCCUUGUUUUAAAAAAGGUGGUUCGAUAGCUUGGCGACUCCGUUGGGGAAAAAAAUAAGAGAGUCAAGCCACGAGUUGAUUAUUUCUUAUUUUUUGUCAGAAAUUGUGAAUUCGAUUUAAAUUUACGAUCUUUUCAUUGCAUUUUAUGGUCUGCAUCAUUUUGAUAUGCUUGCUUUACUGGUUCGAGUCUUUUAAUCUCCGCAUAUUGCAUUGCAUAACCGUUCGGUUAUACCCUUUUAAGUGGGAGUGAGAAACUAUUCAUUUGUGAGAUUUUUACCUCCGUAUAGGAUAGUGGAUUACUUUCGGGAUACAUCCGUACCUAUGUCUUCGUGAGAUUUUCAUCUCCGUAUAGUUAUAGGGAAAUGUAUUCCCCUGAACUGAACUCAGUCCGUAUGAGCCUAUAAUAGGUAAGGAUUGAGGAAUCUGCUGGUUCAGGUACCCUUUCUUUAGAACUAAACUGCAUGUAGUGAGCCCUAAGAGCAUACCGUAGGUAGAACCACUCCAAACCCCUAGUGGUCACCCAAAUAGGUGCUCUAUUUAUUUUUGCUUGCUUAUUUUUGCAUUGUACUAACCUAUUUUUUUGUUAUGAUUGCAUUGCAUUUUCAUCAUAAAAAAGAUGUGUUGAUUCACGUUCAAUUGCUAAAUAGAGAGCUUGUCAUGGAAAACGGAUUUCUUGAUAAAGUGGAAGACAAUGUGGUUAUCCGGAUAUGGUCCAAGAAAAUUUGACGAAAGAAGGGUGAUAGUCUAAUGGAGGACUACACGACCUUGCUUUAUUGCCCGAGGAUUCAAGUUGACAAAGAUUAUUUGAGAGUCCUCAAUGUCCCGACCUUUUUCAAGAAGCUAACGAGUGUCACGAGGAUGAGUGAGUAAUGAGUUGCGGCCCGGAUCAAGCAAAAAAGAGAUAGAGGAGACACCCUUUUUGAAGAGUUCGCGAGAUUUAUAUUAAUAUCAAAAUGAAGAAAAAGAUCAAUGUCUUCGCCUGGAGUAUGAAAGCAAAGCUGUAUAUAUAUCCGCUUUAUGUAAAUAAAUUUGUUUUCUAGUAAAGUUUUUCUAAUAGAAUUGAAUCAGAAUCAAUGUCUUUUUUUGCAUUCAUUCCAUUCAUCUGCAUUGCAUUUCAUUGCAUCCAAAAUUUCACAAAAGGACCCUAAUUAAUUGAAAUUGUUAUAGUUACUCUGAAAACUAAUAAAAAUCUACCAAUUAAAUAUUCCUACGGUACCCGUCGCAAAACCAAAGUAAUGGAUCAAAUAUUAGAAAGAUUAGAACAAAUUCUGAAAGACAAGCAUAAUCGUUUUUGCUUAGGGUACAAGCCAGAUACAAGACAAAGAAGGAAGGAGUUAGAGAAGAAAUAGGAAAGAAUGACAGCAUAUUUGAGCGAGGAUGAGGUCAAAUGGGAGCCUAUGAACUUUCCCUACAUAUCCAAAACUUUUGUAUCGGGAGGGAUUAUUCAUCCCGAGCGAAGAAUGCCAAGAGAAGAAAAUAUUGAAGAAAUGUUGGGAAACGUUCACAUCAAUGCCAUAUACGAAGAAGUAGUUGAAGGAUGGACCUUGUUAGAUAUCCGACCUUAUGAACCUGGGAGUGUGCUAAACAAUUGGACUACAGAAGAAAUUCCUGUAGUGUUUAGACCUUACUCAGAGUAAUAUUCAAAACACACUUGUUGCUUUUAGCCUAGAAGUGAUAAGAAUCCCUCUGUGAAAUAGGCUCAUGUAUAAACAUCAUUAUUUUAAUAAAGUAAAUCUUUGCAUUCAUUUUGAGCAAAUAUUCUUUUAUUCUUUCCAUACGAGUAAUUAUUUUAGAUUUUUCAUUAUUUUAGGAUUUUCUUCCAAAAAUCAUUCUUUUAUUACAUUCAUAAUCAUACUGUACAAAUAAUUAUUCUUAAAUUCAUUCAUUCUUUGUAUAUUCUUUUGUACCUAUAAUAGGUCCCUAGAUAUCAACGACAUGAGUGACGCUGCUACAGACUUAGAAUUUCCUUUUAAACAAGACAUGUGUUUAGAGGGAUCCCAUGACUUUGAAGAUGACGUAGACUGUGGCUUAUCUCCGGACUUGUUAAGGAUGGUAAAACAAGAGGAGAAGCAAAUCCUACUUCACAAUGAAUCAAUGGAAAUUGUGAGCUUAGAAGGGGAAAAUAGGUGAAGAUUGGGACUGACAUUGCCACAAAUACGAAGUAAGACCUCAUUGAGUUACUCUAAGAAUUCAAAGAUAUUUUUGCAUGGUCAUACUAGGAUACGCUCGGGUUAAGUACUGACAUUGUAGUACACUGCCUUCCUAUAAAAGAAGAUUGCUAGCCAGUUCAGCAGAAACUCCAGAGGAUGAGGCCUGAUAUUGUGCUAAAAAUAAAAGAAGUCAAAAAGUAAUUUGAUGUUGGGUUCUUACAAGUGGUCAAAUAUUCAGAAUGGGUAGCCAACAUCGUCUCAGUUCCUAAAAAAAAUGGGAAAGUACGAAUGUGCAUGGAUUACAGAGACUUGAACAAGGCCAGUCGAAAAGACAAUUCCCUAUUGCCUCACGUUGACACUUUGGUGGAUAAUACAGUAGGCUACUCACUUUUUUCCUUCAUGGAUGGCUUCUCUGGAUACAAUCAGAUAAAGAUGCAUCCAAAAACAUGGGAAAGAUUACAUUCGUGACCCUGUAGGAAACGUUUUACUAUAAAGUGAUGACAUUCAGAUUAAAGAAUAUGGGAGCGACGUAUCAAAGGGUGAUGGUAACCUUGUUUCAUGACAUGAUUUACAAGGAAAUCGAGGUUUAUAUUGACGAUAUGAUUGCAAAAUCUAGAACAGAAGAGGAACAUGUGCAGGUCCUGAGAAAAUUAUUCUUAAGACUGAGAAAGUUCUAGCUCAAGCUUUCCAACGAAAUGCACUUUCGGAGCUAGGUCAGGAAAGCUAUUAGGCUUCAUAGUCAGUGAAAAAGGAAUCGAGAUCAACCCAGACAAAGUCAAGGUAAUAAGAGAUUUACCUCCACUAUGCACUCAGAAGAAAGUUCGAGGUUUCCUAGGAAGACUAAAUUACAUUGCUCGGUUUAUUUCACAACUAACCGAAAAAUGUGACCCCAUAUUUCAUCUUUUAAAGAAACAUAAUCCAGAUGUAUAGGAUGAAGAAUGUCAGGAAGUUUUUGAUAGGAUAAAGCAGUACCUAUCAAAUACUCUAGUGCUGUUACCACCUAGCCCAGAUAGGCCACUGAUAUUGUAUUUAACAGUGUUUGAUAAUUUUAUGGGAUGCAUGCUAGGCCAACAUGAUGAGACAGGAAGGAAAGAAAGGGUUAUAUACUAUCUCAGUAAGAAAUUCACUGAUUAUGAAAUAAGAUACUCGUCUAUUGAGAAAUUAUGUUGUGCCUUGAUCUGGAUAACUCGGAGGCUAAGGCGGUACAUGUUGUACCAUACGACUUGACUAAUUUCAAAGUUAGACCCUUUAAAGUAUAUGAUGGAGUCAACUACUUUGAAUGGGAGGAUGGCCAGAUGGCAGAUUUUACUUUUUGAAUUUGACAUACUUUAUGUGAGCCAGAAGGCUAUAAAAUGGAGUGCAAUAGCGGAUUUUCUAGCUAGCAGAGCCUUGGAGGAUUAUGAGCCUUUAAAUUUUGAUUUUUUGAACGAGGACUUAAUGUAUGUGGCAACCACUAAAGAAAAUGCUCAAGUGGAUCGCAUUUGGAAGCUAAAAUUUGACGGAGCCUCAAAUGCUAUGGGUAAUAAAAUUGAGGCAGUCUUAGUAUCCCCGAGCAGAGAUCAUUAUCCUAUUGCUGGCAAAUUGGAUUUUGAUUGUACAAACAAUAUAGCAGAAAAUGAAGCGUGUAUUAUGGGCAUCCGUAUAGCCAAAGAAUGUAAAAUCAAAGUGCUAAAGGUAUAUGGGGAUUCUGCAUUGGUGAUAUAUCAGCUCAAAGGAGGAUGAGAGAUAAGAGACCUCAAAUUGAUUAAUUAUCGAAAGUUUAUUCUCGAAUUGAUUGAUGAGUUUGAUGAUAUUACUUUCUCCUAUCUCCCACUAGAUGAAAACCAGAUGGCUGACACGUUGGCUACUCUAGCUUUCAUGAUCAAAGUAAACAAACUAGAAGACAUGAAGCCUAUCCAGAUGAGCAUUUAUGAGACUUUGGCUCAUUGCUACAGUAUCGAGGAAGAGGAAAAGGAUGAUCAUCCUUGGUACCAAGAUAUACUGCAAUAUGUAAAGAAUCACGAGUACCCUGAUCAGGCAACGAAGAAUGAUAAGAGGACAUUGAGAAGACUAGCCACUAACUAUGUCUUACAUGGAGAGAUUUUAUACAAAAAGGGAAAGGAUCGGGUACUACUAAGAUGCUGGAUGCUAUAAAAGCUUAGAAAAUCUUGGAGGAAGUCCAUGAAGGUAUCUGCAAAAUGCAUGCCAACGGUUUCACAAUAGUAAGACAGAUUAUGAGAUUCGGGUACUACUGGUCGACCAUGGAAGGAGAUUGCAUCAAUUAUGCCAAGAAGUGCCAUAAAUGUCAAAUUUAUAGAGACAAAAUACACGCACGUUCUUCACCUCUCAACGUUAUGACUUCUCUAUGGCCUUUCUCUAUGUGGGAUAUGGAUGUCAUCGGGCCAAUAUUGCCAAAGGCUUCUAAUAGGUAUCGUUUCAUCUUCAUGGUCAUUGGUUACUUCACUAAAUAGAUGGAAGCUGAUUCAUAUGCUAAUGUCACGAAGUCAGGAGUCAGCAAGUUCUUGAAAAGGGAGAUCAUAUGUUGAUAUAUAAUGCCUGAAAGAAUCAUAUCUGACAAUACAUUGAAUUCGAAAAAUAGCAAAAUAGCGGAGGUCUGCAAUCAAUUCAAGAUCAAACACCAUAAUUCGUCACCAUAUCGCCCAAAAAUGAACGGAGCAGUGGAGGCGGCCAACUAAAAUACCAAGAAAAUUGUGGGGAAAAUGUCUGAGACUUACAAAGAUUGGCAUGAAAAAUUACCAUUUGCCCUCUUUGUUUAUCGAACAUCAAUCAGGACUUUCGUCGGGGCAACGCCUUUCUCUCUAGUUUAUAAGAUGGAGGCAGUUUUACCCAUUAAAGUUGAAAUCCCUUCUCUCUGGGUAUUGGCUGAGCUAAAGUUGGAUGAAGCUGAAUAGAUCCAACCUCGAUAUGAUCAGUUGAACCUAAUAGAAAGAAAAAGGCUAAAAGUUAUUCACCACGGUCAGAUGUACCAAAAACGAAUGAUGCGAGCCUACAACAAAAAAGUUCAUCCCAAAGAAUUCUAUGAGGGGGACCUAGUGUUGAAAAAGAUUUUUCCUCUACAAAAGAAUUUUAGAGGAAAAUGGAUGCCAAAUUAGGAAAGACCUUAUGUUGUAAUAAAGGCCUUUUCUGGAGGAGCAUUGAUUUUGAGUGAGAUGGAUGGUAAAAAUUUUCCUAAUCUUGUAAACUCAGAUUCAUUCAAGAAAUACUUCACCUAAAGAAGGAGAAGGGACCAAUGUGAAAACCUGCAAAGGGCACUUUGAGUCUUAAAAAAAAGAGACCAAGGUGAAAACCGCAAAUGGUGUCUUAAGUCCUAAAAAAAAGAGGCCAAGGUGAAAACUAGCAAAGGGCGCCUUGAGACCAAAGGGGAUUUGAGUUGAAAACCCGAAAAGAGCGACUCAAAUAUUGAUUAAAAUGGGGCAUGCAGUGAUCUUGCUAUACUUGAAUUAAUAGGAAAGGGGUAUACGACAUCUUGGGGCAUCGACAAAGUACUAUAGAUCUCCUAAACACAUUUCAAACUCAAAAUGGUCUUUAGGAAGUUUGUACAGAGAAAUUCAAGCUGCGAUGUCUAGGGCACCUAGUCUUCAUACUAUUUAUAUUAAAUUUGCUAUUCUUGGAAUACUUUAUUCUUUUCAAGAUACGUGUUCCCAAUCAAUUCCCUUUUUAUUCUUCUUUAUCCUUGAUAAUUUAUUCAUUUCGAGCUAUGCUCCAAAUCAAUUCUAUUCUUAUCCAUUGUUAUUAUCUUUUGCAAGCAUGUUGUAUUGGAAUAAUGAUUAAUAGACUAAUAAUACUUUUACAAAUAAAGUGCUGUAUAUUACUCUAAAAGUUUCUAAAUAAUACAAGAACCUAAAACAGGACUAUUGUUUAGAACGCACCGGGUUUAAAGGUUAGAAAUAUCUGAGAAGGAAGAGUCCAAAUUAAGACUAUCCCUUCGAAUUUUGUUGUCAAAAUAUUGAUUGAACAAAACGACAAGAUAUCGUAUUGGUGAACAAACGAGCAAUGAUCACCAGGUAAUAAAAAGAGGUUAUUUUGGAAAAAAAAUUACAUUGGUACGACACCUUAGGAAUGGUGUAAGAGACCAAAGAGGUUCACAUCUUGUAUUCUUGAAUUGCAAUAGGAGAGGAUUGAGAAAGAGCUAGAUAUUAUACUCCUGAAUUAUAAUGGAAGGGAAAUGGUACAAAUUUUAUGUACCAAAAGUACAGUGGAUUGAACCUUGAAGAUUACAGUAGGGGAAAUCUGAUUAAGUAAAAUAUGAAGUGUUUCUUUGGAGAUACCAGUCGAACAAGAUGGCAUUAUGACGUGUCGGUGAUAGAGCCUUAAUGAAUAAUGAGCAAUAACAACUCAAGCAUUAAGGGAUCAUUUUCAUAACAUUCUGUAUUCAUUCAUACACAUCUAGUUAGGAGAUUUUGAUUCAUUCCGAUCAUAACAUCCAAAUCACUAGACAUAAAUAGGCCCAUGAAAUGGAUUCUACAGGUCAUGUUCCCCAUAGAACAGAUGGGUGAAACCACAAAUCCUAUACCGCUGAAGUUGCAGUGGGAUGGAUUGAAGUCAUUAUGGCGAGUCUUAUCUCCCUGAAGUUGCAAUGGAGCAUAUUAAAGCUAGUAAUCUUAUCUCCCUGAAGUUGCAGUAGAGCGGAUUGAAGUUACAAGUCUUAUCCCCCUAAAGUUACAGUGGAGCAGACUGAAGAUAGUGAAUCUUAUUUCCCUGAAGCUGCAGUGGAACAAAUUGAAGCUAUAAAUUGUAGAUUUUAUCUCUCUAAAGUUGCAAUAGAGAAGAUCAUAUCAAACUUUAUCUCCCUGAAGUUGUAGUGGAACAGGUUGAAAAUACCAAUCUUAUCUCCCUGAAGUUACAGUGGAGUAGACUGAAGAUAGCGAAUCUUAUUUCUCUGAAGUUGCAGUGGAACGGAUUGAAGCUAUAAAUUACAGAUCUUAUCUCUCAGAAGUUGCAGUAAAGCAGAUCAUAGAAAACCUUAUCUCCCUGAACUUGCAGUGGAGUAGGUUGAAGUUAUAAGUCUUAUCUCCCUAAAGUUGCAGUGGAGCAGACUGAAGAUAGCGAAUCUUAUUNNNNNNNNNNNNNNNNNNNNNNNNNNNNNNNNNNNNNNNNNNNNNNNNNNNNNNNNNNNNNNNNNNNNNNNNNNNNNNNNNNNNNNNNNNNNNNNNNNNNNNNNNNNNNNNNNNNNNNNNNNNNNNNNNNNNNNNNNNNNNNNNNNNNNNNNNNNNNNNNNNNNNNNNNNNNNNNNNNNNNNNNNNNNNNNNNNNNNNNNNNNNNNNNNNNNNNNNNNNNNNNNNNNNNNNNNNNNNNNNNNNNNNNNNNNNNNNNNNNNNNNNNNNNNNNNNNNNNNNNNNNNNNNNNNNNNNNNNNNNNNNNNNNNNNNNNNNNNNNNNNNNNNNNNNNNNNNNNNNNNNNNNNNNNNNNNNNNNNNNNNNNNNNNNNNNNNNNNNNNNNNNNNNNNNNNNNNNNNNNNNNNNNNNNNNNNNNNNNNNNNNNNNNNNNNNNNNNNNNNNNNNNNNNNNNNNNNNNNNNNNNNNNNNNNNNNNNNNNNNNNNNNNNNNNNNNNNNNNNNUCAAAGGAACAAAAUAUCACCUACAUCAUAAGGCACGAUCGCCAGAACUUUACUUUCUAGCCUGUCGAUCCGAUCCAAUCCAAUGAAAGAACACAAGGAGUCUUAAGAUCUGUCAACUUUAUUUCAUUUUCAUUUCUUUGUCAUUUUCUAUGUUUCAUGUCGAAUACAAUAAAGAGAACAUAGAAAAAUGUGGCCUAUUUAUUUCCCAAUCAUCAUGAAAUUACUUGCCAUUGACUUAGAUUUUCUCACCAAUUUCAAGCAAUCUGACAUGAUUUCUCAUCACAAUUAAUUGAAUUCAAGAUCUUUUUAGAUGACACAAACAUUUCAUUUUAACACAAACCAAUAUUUCGGUUAUACUUCAGUGCUUGACAAGCACUUUCACAUUUGUGGAUAAGAACUCUUAACAUUUUAGGAUCACAUUUAAUUCAAUUGCAUUUAAGACCUCAUGGUUUUAUUCUAUAAUUUCAGUCUUAUCAGCCUUUUCGGAAACAAUAAAACGUCGACAUUAAAUUUGUUGUUGAUGCAUUCAAUUUUUUGGGUCUUUGGAGUUAUGUGACUUUAGCAUUGACUGACUUUUUUAUAAUUUAAUAAUAAGGUAAAUAUAUUAAUUUUAAUAACAUCGACAUGUUUUUUAGUAGGGUCGAGCAAAACCCAAUUAAAAUCGAUGAUAUUGGCUUAGUUGACUCGGUCAAGUCCAUUAGAUUGAUAAAAUCAUUUUUAAAAUCAGUUAUAAUGGAUAAAGGUAAUUAAUUAUCGAGUAAUGAAAUACAUAAUCAAAUCAAUUGAUUUUGUUAGAAACUAAAAGAAAAAGGGCUAAGCUGAAAAUUGAUUGCCCUUUAUUAAAAUUAACGAAUCUGUCUUUUACGUAUUAGAUAAUAUGAACAUCGCAUAUAUAAUAAGAAAAUUACGUAUGAUUAUUUAUUAUCAUAAAAGGUUAGUUUAAAUUUAAAGUAAUCUAAUAUGUUUAUUGAACUUCAACUAUUAAAUAAAGUAUAAGCUAAAUAAGUAUAAAUAUUCUAGAAACCAUUUCUAACUGAUGAUAGGCUAAUUCGAUUAAUUUAUAAAAACUAGAUAGUAGGGUUAUAGUCCUCAAACUACACCUAAUUUAAUAACAUUUAUAUUUUUUUUAGCCUUAAACAUUUAUAGUUUUGUUAAUUUGGUCCUUACUCUUUAAAAUUACAUAAAAAAUUGCAAAAAAAUUAAAAAUUAAUUUUUAUCAUGAUUUAAUAACAUUUAUAUUUUUUUUUGUGGUUUGGUAACUUAUCAACUUGACUCUUACUUGUAACCAACUUUUCUAACCUUUUUCGUACCCUUAACCUAAGUCCCGUUACAAUUUCUAAAGACCUCUUGAUUGGUGUAUCAUCUCGAUUUGUUUUUAUAGUGGUGGAGAUUUGUUUUUUGUAGUGGGCAUGAUUGCCAGAACUUUACUUUCUAUCCUGUCGAUCCGAUCCAAUGAAAGAAUAACAAAGAGGUCUUAAGAUCUGUCAACUUUAUUUCAUUUUCAUUUUCUUUGUCAUUUUCUAUGUUUCUUGUCACAUACAAUGAAAGAAGAACAUAGAAAAAUGUUGCCUAUUUAUUUCCCAAUCAUCAUUCUAACAGGCCGAAUUAGCCCAGGCCCAAACAUUAAUAAAUGUCCAGAUUACAAAAUAACCAACCAAAAAUUAAAAGCCCAAAUAAUAAAAUAAAACCCAUUACAUUAACCCAAAACUCCAGCCCAAUUACAUUGAAGCCAAAAAAAUAGUUUUUAGAAACCCCUAGGGUUUCUGGAACAAUCCGCGCCGCUCCUCCAUCCGCUUCUCCACGCACGCUGCACCUUUCCACGUGCGCCUCCAGCUGGCAGUGUACCUCCAAUGCAACAAACAAAGCAACAAGCAGCAAAAGAAAUGGAAAAACAACAAAAAAAAAAGAAGGAGCAACAAUGUAUAACAGAUUGAUAACAAAUAAUAGAAAAAAUAGCAGUAAAUAGGAAAAAAAAUUAAAAAAUAAUGAGGGUAAUUUCAUUUUUUUCUCUGUUUUGGCUAUAAAGAGAGCCGGUCAAAAUCUCUAAAGGGGGAUUUAGAAUCAAUCAGAAAACAAGUAUUUUGUACCAACAAUUAGAGAAAAAAAAUACAAAAAUAGGGAUUGAAGGUUUUUUUUUUCUUUCGUUUCGAUUUAUUUAAAAUAGCAUAGAAAAUAAAAAGAAGGCUUACCUUGCGACGCCUUCAGAUCCUCUCGAAAAGGGGCUAAAAGGCCCUAUGUGGCACAGAUUUGACCACUGUUCACGGUGGAACCGCAGCGGAGGCGCAGAGGAUUGGCAUCAAUUUAGGCAGGGUUUGAAACCCUAGCAGAGAAAAAAUUAGGGUUGAUAGAUUUUUUUUAAAAAAAUGGCAAAAUGUUGUUUUUAAAAAAUUUUGUUUUAAAAAAAUUGUUGCUUUUAUAAAGGGUGUAAAACGGCGUCGUUUAGGGCAUGUUUCGAUGGCCCCAAAACGGCGCCUUAUAAGGCAACCCCCGACGACCCGACCUGCUCCAUGGGGGAUCCGCGUGGUUUUUGUUAAAUGGGUUAUGUCUAACCCUGGCCCUUCUACUUUUUAUACUUGUUUUAAUUUGAUCCUCUUUUUAUUUAUUUUUAUUUCUUUAAAUUAAGCCUGAUAAUUUUUUUCCAUUACAUUUUAAUCCUUAAUGAAACGGCGCGUUUUAGAGGAGAAGGGAAAAUUACCCUUCUAGUCCCUUCUUGUUAUUCGAGUGUUCAGAAGGGUCCUUUUUUGUUUAUUUUUUAUUUGCCCCAAAAUUUUGUUUUAAAGCUUAAUUUAGUCCUAUUUUGUUAUUUUAGCUAUUUUAUUAUUAGAUUAAUUAAUUUAAUAUUAUUAUUACUGCUAUUAUUUUACCCCUAUUAGUUAUAUAUUUAUUAUUAUAACUAUAUCAUUAAAUCAAUUAGUUUUUACAUUAUUAUUUCCAUUCUGUUUUUUAUUUACUUACUUAAAUACUUUAAAUGCAUUUAUUUUAUUUCUUAUUUUUUUAUGAAAUUUCAAAACUUUAGACUAUUUUUUUGUUACUAUAACCCUAAUUUCAUUCAUUUUAUAAUAGUUUUUUUUUAAAAUAUUUCUUAGAUUAAUUCCCUCGAUGUUAUUUUGUAUAUUUAUUUAUCUUUUUAAAUUUUCGAUAUUGUCUUAUUGUAUUAUUGUUGUUACUAUCAUUAUUCAUUAUUAUUGUUGAUUUUAUUCUUCUUUGAUUAAUGUUUAUGUUAGAGUAAUAGGUGUUAUGUGAUCAUUGUUAUUAUAUGUUAUAAUUUGUUGACACUCGUAUUGUAGUCAUUCGUCAGCUUAAUAUUUGAGUAACAUUUUAAAUAUUACAUUAAUUUUGACCCAAAUGCAUAAUUUUUUAAUAAGUAAUAUUUCGUAUUGUGGAAUUUGAGAGAUCAUUCCCUAACUUACGGGGUCUCGAUUUUUUUGAUAAAUCUGAAUAUAAGAACUAUUUUAAAAAAAUACGUUUUAAAAUUAUCUCGGGAAUUUAAAAAGAAGCGUGUUCUAACUUACGGAAUAUGAUCUUUUUUAAAAAUCGAGAUAAUCAAAUAUCUUUCAAAUAAAUAAACUUUUCGUGUUUAUUCUCGUUUUAGGAUUUAAGAUAUUGUGUCCUAACUCACGGGACACAAUUCUUUUUCUCGAUUAACGUGAAAUACGCCCUUUUUAAUUUUAUCUUUUUAAGUGAUUUUAACAAAAGGAUUGUAUUUUAAAUCUCUUCAAAAUUUUCAAUUUUUCGACAUUGAGACAUUAACUAAUCAAUUAGGUACCAAUUUUGGGCGUUACAAGGGUGUUAACCCUUCCUUGUACAUAACCGACUCCCGAACCUAUUUUUCUGAAUAUUAUAGGCCAAAAUUGUUUUAAUAAAUUAAACCCUUAAGAGGUGACUCGAUCACAGCUCAUAAAAAUUAUCGGUGGCGACCCUUGUUUUAAAAAAGGUGGUUUCAACAGCUUGGCGACUCCGCUGGGGACAAAAAUAAGAGUCAAGCCGCGAGUUGAUUAUUUCUUAUCUUUUUGUCAGAAAUUGUGAAUUCGAUUUAAAUUUAUGAUCUUUUCAUUGCAUUUUAUGGUCUGCAUCAUUUUUAUAUGCUUGCUUUACUACUUCGAGUCUUUUAAUCUUCGCAUAUUGUAUUGCAUAACCGUUCGGUUAUACCCUUUUAAGCGGGAGUGAGAAAUUAUUCUUUCGUGAGGUUUUCACCUUCGUAUAGGAUAGUGGAUUACUUUCAGGAUACAUCCAUACCUAUGUCUUCGUGAGAUUCUCAUCUCCGUAUAGUCAUAGGGAAAUGUAUUCCCCUGAACUGAACUCAGUCCGUAUGAGCCUAUAAUGGGUGAGGAUUGAGGAAUCUGCUGGUUCAGGUACCCUUUCUUUAGAACUAAACCGCAUGUAGUGAGCCCUAAGAGCAUACCCUAGGUAGAACCACUCCAAACCCCUAGUGGUCACCCAAAUAGGUGCUCUAUUUAUUUUUGCUUGCUUGUUUUUGCCUUGUACUAACCUAUUUGUUAUGGUUAUGAGUGCAUUGCAUUUUUAUCAUAAAAAAGAUGUGUUGAUUCACGUUCAGUUGCUAAAUAGAGAGCUUGUCAUGGAAAACGAAUUUCUUGAUAAAGUGGAAGACAAUGCGGUUGUCCGGAUAUGGUCCAAGAAAAUGUGAAGAAAGAAGGGUGAUAGUCUAAUGGAGGACUACACGACCUUGCUUCGUUGCCUGAUGAUUCAAGUUGACAAAGAUUAUUCGAGAGUCUUCAAUGUCCCGACCUUUUUAAAGAAGCUAACGAGCGUCACGAGGAUGAGCGAGUAAUGAGUUGCGGCCCGGAUCAAGCAAAAAAAAGAUAGAGGAGACACCCUUUUUGAAGAGUUCACGAGAUUUAUCUUAACAUCUAGACGAAGAAAAAGAUCAAUCUCUUUGCCUAGAGUAUGAGGGCAAAGCCGUAUAUAUAUCCGCUUUAUGUAAAUAAAUUUGUUUUCUAGUAAAGUUUUUCUAAUAGAAUUGAAUCAGAAUCAACGUCUCUUUUUGCAUUCAUUCCAUUCAUCUGCAUUGCAUUUCAUUGCAUCUAGAAUUUCACAAAAGGACCCUAAUUAAUCGAAAUUGUUAUAGCUACCUUGAAAAACUAACGAAAAUUUACCAAUUAAAUAUUCCUAUGGUACCCAUUGCAAAACUAAAGUAAUGGAUCAAAUAUUAGAAAGAUUAGAACAAAUGCUGAAGGAUAAACAUAACUGCUUUGGCUUAGGGUACAAGCCAGAUACAAGACAAAGAAGAAAUAGGAAAGGAGAACACGUUUGAGCGGGGAUGAGGUCAAAUGGGAGGGAUUAUUCAUCCCAGGCGAAGAAUGCCAAGAGAAGAAAAUAUUGAAAACAUGUUGGGAAACGUUCACAUCAAUGCCAUAUACGAAGAAGCAAUUGAAGGAGUGACCUUGUUAGAUAUCCGCCCUUAUGAACCUAAGAGUGUGCUAAACAAUUGGACUGCAGAAGAAAUUCUUGUAGUGUUUAGAGCUUACUCAUAGUAAUGUUCAGAACACACUUGUUGCUUUUAGCCUAGAAGUGAUAAGAAUCCCUCUGUGAAAUAGGCUCAUGUAUAAAAAUCAUUAUUUUAAUGAAGUACAUCUUUGCAUUCAUUUUGAGCAAAUAUUCUUUUAUUCUUUUCAUACGAGUAAUUAUUUUGGAUUCUUUAAUUCUUUUGGGAUUUUCUUCCAAAAUCAUUCUUUUAUUACAUCCAUAAUCAUACUGUACAAAUAAUGUAAUAGCCUGAAUUUUCAGUGGUGUCGGAAUGGUGAUUCAAGAUCACUAAGUCUGACAAAUGAGUAGAAAAUAUUAUUAAUUUAGUAAGAAUAAGUAAAUGUGAAGUUAGGAAAAUUUUUGAAAUAGUGAAUAGUGUACUAGGAAUAAAUAUUAAAAUAAUUAAAAUAAAAAAUGAGGUAUCGAGACCUCGAAGAUUUUAAACCAAGCCAUAAGUACUUUUAGAAGUAUUUUUAGAGUGUCAUUGAGUUGGUAUUAAAGUUUCGUUAGAAAAUUUUAACGCUCGGAUAGUUAAUUAACCAAAAAGGACUAAAUUGAAAAUAGUGUAAAAUUUGUUAAAUUGUGAUUAAAUAGCUUAAGUGAUUAAAAAGGAGGGAUUUAAAAGGCAAUUAGGCCCAAAUUAUAUGGGCUGGACGGUUGGGUAAGAAAAAUCAGCAGAAUGUAAGGAGAAAACAGGGGCAAAAUUGGAAACUUAACAAAUUAAACAUAUAAAACAAAGACAAAAGUGAAAAAUCUAGAGAUCUGUUCACAAUUUAUCAGCAAAAAUGCCAUAGGAGGUCUGAAAGAAGCUGGUUUUUCAUAUAUUUGAAUCAUGUAAGUUUAAUUCUUGAUUAUUUCUUCUAAUUUUUGUGAUUUUGAUACUUUUACAAUUAGGUCCAACUAAUUAUUUCAUUAGUUUUUGAUUUCAUGGCUGAUUUUGAAAGUUACCAUUGAUGAGUGUUGGAUUUUUAUGAUGAAUAAACAUGGAAUUAAAGCUUUAAUUUUGUUAUAUGAUGAUUUUAUUAAGUAAUUUUGAUAGAAAUUGAUUUUUGGGACCUAAUUGUGAAAAAGUUUGGAAUUAGGGUUUGGUGUUGCGGUUUUGAAUAUGAAAGGCUAUGUAGUAGUCUAAAAUAGUUGGAAAAGGUGUUAAUUGAGAAAAAUUAGAUCAAUUGAGGGGUUAAUUGAGUAGGACCAAAUUGUAAAAACUGUAAAGUUUGAGGUAAAAGUGUAAUUUCGAAAAUUUAAGGGCAUAAAUUGUGAAGUGAAUUAGAAUAGAAUUAUAUGCUGAUGAAUGAAUAAAUUUGUAUUUUAGAUCGAGAACCCGAAGCAAGCCGAGGAAAAGAAAAAGUAGUUGAUUAGUCCCUGAACUUUUACAAAUUCUGCAAAUCGACCCAGGUAAGUUCAUAUGGCUGAAAUUUAAUGAUUAAAUGUUAAUUUCAUGAAUUAUGUAAUGUAUGAUGAAAUGUAUUUAGUGUUGAAAUGAGAGUAAAAUAAAAAUGCGAAAAUCGAAUAAAUGAUCAAAUUAAGCGGAACGCCGGAUUUGAGUACUUCUGAUCAAGAGACAAAGUGAUAAGUGGUAGCUUUAGCUACACUUAUCUGAUCAAGUGAAAAAGUGAUAAGUGCUACACUUAUCUGAUCAAGAGACAAAGUGAUAAGUGGUAGCUUUAGCUCACUUAUCUGAUCAAGUGAAAAAGUGAUAAGUGCUAUACUUAUCUGAUCAAGUGACAAAGUGAUAAGUGGUAGCUUAGCUACACUUAUCUGAUCAGGGCCAAAUGAUAAGUGAUCAUACGUAAGACCAUAGUUAUACUAUGGCCAAGUGAAAGUGAAGUACUCAAUUUUCCGUAACCGUUCCUUAAUUUUGAUCAAGGAUGGUAAGUGACAAAUAGGCCCAAAGAAAUUAUGGUAAAAGAAUAAGUAGUAGUGAGUUUAUACCAAGGAACUCUCCAAAGAUUGUGGUUGACAAGUAAACUUAGUAAUGGUGUAUAUUGUAUAAGUGUACAAAUGUUUGGUAAGAUUUAUGUUUGUGCCUAUGAACUUACUAAGCUUUUCUAUAAGCUUACAUGUGUGUGUUUAUUGUUUUUCUAGAUUAACGUAUUUAUACAUUCGGAGGAUCGGAUCUACUUCGAGAAUCACACUAUCCAGAUAUACUCCGGUAGAUUUUGUUAAACAACUUUUUGGAUUUAUAUGGCAUGUACAGAGAAUUGAAGUAAAAAGUAAUAGAAUGAAUGACUGAGUAUGCAAAGUAAAUUUGAAUGUGAUGGUUGUGUUAGAUAUUGAAAAAUACAUGUUUUUAGUUUGAAAUGGUUGAUUGGCUGAACUUCGUUAGUAUUCAAGUGAAGUAGUUGAAAUACUGGAAUUGGUUGUGAUUUGAAAUUUGCAGGGAAGGUUAGAUAAAUAUAAAGGGGUUAUAUUGAUUUUUUUUUUAAAUUUCAAUGGAAUAAUUUUUGGACAGCAGCAUUGAUGUAACUUUUAAAAAUCACCAAAAAUAGUGGAAAUAGAAUUAGAAGUUGAAUGAGAUAUGAAAUUAAAUCUGAAUGAGUCUAAUUUCACAUGAAAGAAGUAGAAUAAGAAAAAGAGUUAUAUAUUUUUAGAUAUUUGAAUUUUAGUGAAACAGGGCAAGAAUGUUUUUGAAGUCCCCUGUUCUGACUUUAGAAAUUUAGUAAAAAUUGUACAAAAGGAAUUAUGAAUUAUAAUUUAUAUGUUUAAAUUCCGUAAUGAGUAUAUUUUAAGUAGAAAUAAUUGGAACCACCAUAUGAAGUCUUUGCAAUGAGAUAAUUGAAUUUUAGUGACAAGAGGUCAGGAUAGUCAAUUAGUGAAAUAGGGGAGACUUCAACUAAUAAACUGUAUUAAUUUGCUAAACCAAAAAUUCUGAAAAAUUUAUGGUGAAUAUACAUAUGAGUCUAGUUUGAGGGAAAAUUUACGGAUCUAAAUUUUUAGUUUCGUAUCUUGAGUUAUAAUUAUUUUAGUGACUACUGCGCAUGUGGACAGCUUUGUUGUGAAUGGUGAAAUUAAUUUUUAAAGUAAAUUUUUAUGCCCCGAACUUUUAAGUUCAGUCAAGUAACGCCUUAUGCUCGACUCCGGCAACCGUCUUGGGUAAGGGGUGUUAUAAAUAAUUAUUCUUAAAUUCAUACAUUCUUUGUAUAUUAUUUUGUACCUACAAUAGGUCCCUAGAUAUUAACAACAUGAGUGACGUUGCUACAGACUCAGAAUUUCCUUUUAAACAAGACAUGUGUUUAGAGGGAUCCCAUGGCUUUGAAGAUGACGUAGACUGUGGCUUAUCUCUGAAUUUGUUAAGGAUGGUAAAACAAGAGGAGAAGCAAAUCCUACCUCACAAGGAAUCAAUGGAAAUUGUGAGCUUAGAAGGGGGAAAAGAGGUGAAGAUUGAGACUAACAUUGCCACAAAGACAAAGCAUGACCUCGUUGAGUUACUCCAAGAAUUUAAAGAUGUCUUCGCAUGGUCAUACCAGGAUACUCCCGGGUUAAGUACUGGCAUUGUAGUACACUACCUUCUUAUAAAAGAAGAUUGCAAGCCAGUUUAGCAGAAACUCUGAAGGAUGAGGCCUGAUAUUGUGCUAAAAAUAAAAGAAGAAGUUAAAAAGCAAUUUGAUGUUGGGUUCUUACAAGUGGUUAAAUAUUCAGAAUGAGUAGCCAACAUCGUCUCAGUCUCUAAAAAAGAUGGGAAAGUACGAAUGUGCAUAGAUUACAGAGACAUGAACAAGGCCAGCCAAAAAGAAAAUUUCCCAUUGCCUCACAUUGACACUUUGGUGGAUAAUACAGUAGGCUACUCACUGUUUUCCUUCAUGGACGACUUCUCUGGAUACAACCAGAUAAAGAUGCAUCCCAAAAACAUGGGAAAGACUACAUUCGUGACCCUAUGGGGAAUGUUUUGCUAUAAAAUGAUGUCAUUCGGAUUAAAGAAUGUGGGAGCGACGUAUCAAAGGGAAUGGUAACCUUGUUUCAUGACAUGAUGUACAAGUAAAUCGAGGUUUAUGUUGACGAUAUGAUUGCAAAAUCCAGAACAGAAGAGGAACAUGUGUAGGCCCUAAGAAAAUUAUUCUUAAGACUGAGAAAGUUCCAGCUCAAGCUUUCCAACGAAAUGCACAUUCAGAGCUAGGUUAGGAAAGCUGUUAGGCUUCACAGUUAGUGAAAAAGGAAUCGAGAUCAACCCAGAUAAAGUCAAUGCGAUACGAGAUUUACCUCUACCAUGCACUCAGAAGGAAGCUCGAGGUUUCCUAGGAAGACUGAAUUACAUUGCUCGAUACAUUUCACAACUAACCGAAAAAUGUGACACCAUAUUAAAAUAAAAAUAGAUUAAAUUGUAAGUAAAACAUAAUUUAAACAUAUGAAUACAUCAAAUUAAUAAUACUAAAUGAAUACAGUUAUUUAUGAUGAUGUUGUUGCCAAUUCCUAAUUUGGUGUCUAGUUAAUUUGUGACAUCAUAAAUUUAAGUGAUAAAUUUAAGGUUUUAUGUAUUGAUGUGGAUUCAAAUAUCACCAUAAUUUUUGUAAAUAAAAAACUAAUAAGAUAACUUAUAUUAAGUACGAAAGGGUAUUUUUAUAAUUUCUCUAAUCGAGUUGGUGCCCGGUUGACUCAUGACACUAACUCAAUCAGAAGCUUUAAUAAUAAUAUAGAUAUUCAUGUUAAAAAAACAAAAAAAAAGUACUUUAGUUCCAAAUAAUUAUAUAACAAGUAAAUUUAUAAUUGAUGAAUAAAUUUAUAAAUAAUAUAUUUAUAUGAUCUAAUAUAUUAUAUUUAUAUUAAUUAUAUAUCAUCUACAAACUUUGAAGAUCAAUUUAUUAAGUAAAAAUGAAAUUGUUAACACUAAAUCAAUUUUUAGAUUUUGUAUAGAUGAUUUAGUGAUGAUAAAAACAUUAUUAACACUAUUUUUUAAUUAACAAAAAAUUAGUGAUAUAUUUAAAUUAUAUUUAUCAUUUAUUAUUUUUAAUAAUAUUUUUUAAUUAUAUGAAGUAAAAUUAUAUUGUAUACUAAAUAUGGUACAUAUACUCUAAUUAUAACUUGAAAUUUUAUUAUAUAAAUUAAUAUAAAUUUGAAUAACAAAAUAAAAAAAAACUAAUUAGAAUAAUUUUAAAAAACAUUAUUUAAAAGUAGUUAAAAAUCACGUGCAACAGGUGAGAUCAAUGGUCUUUAGAGAAGAAAUGUUGAAGAUCAAAGUUGGAAUCUGGCCUAUAAGGCCUUUAAUUGCUUUAAUAUUAAGCAGUUCCAAACCAAGAAGAUUACCGAUUUCCUCAGGAAUUUGACCUGCACACAUGGUCGAAAAAUCAAUGUGUCAAACUACCUAUUUUGUUAGCAUAAGUCAAAGAGGUUUUCUUUUCUAUUCUACAUAAUUUGCAGAUGUUAGAUUUUAAUAUUUUUAAGCAUAUUUGUUUUCAUCAAAUUAACUAUUUUGAACUAUUUUGCCUUGAAUGAAAUAAAAUGCUCUUACUUUUGUUAUCUAUUACUAAUCAAACUCUUUUAUAAAAAAAAUACUUUAAACUAAAGAAACCAAGAAAAUUCAAUACCUUCUAGGUUAUUCAACCCCAAAUAUAAUUCUUUGAGUCGUGUCGGAUUUCCAAUACUUCUUGGAAUGAUCCCCAUCAAUUGAUUAUAGGAAAAUGACAAAAUUUUAAGGUUGUUGCAUUUGCUUAUACUUGACGGAAUGUUACCAUAUAAUUCAUUCCGACUCAAGUAAAGCCCUUCAAGCUUGGAAAGAUGUGACACAUAUCAUUAGGCAAGCUACCUGAUAGGCUAUUGUUGGAGAGAUCAAUGGCCUUCAGAGAAGAAAUGUUGAAGAUCGAAGUUGGAAUCUGACCUGUAAGGCCUUUAAUUGCUUUAAUAUUAAGCAGUUCCAAACCAAGAAGAUUACCGAUUUCCUCAAGAAUUUGACCUGCACACAUGGUCGAAAAAUCAAUGUGUCAAACUACCUAUUUUGUUAGCAUAAGUCAAAGAGGUUUUCUUUUCUGUUCUAUAGUAAUUUGGUGAUGUUAGAUUUUAAUAUAAUUCAGCACAUGUUUUUCAUCAAAUGAAAUAAAAAGUUUUUCCUUUUGUUAUCUAUUACAAAUCAAGCUCUUUUAUUAAAAAAAUACUUUAAAUUCAAGAAAUCAAGGAAAUUAAUUACCUUCUAAAUUAUUAAACCCCAAAUAUAAUUCCUGGAGUCGUGUUAGAUUUCCAAUACUUCUUGGAAUGAUCCCCAUAAAUUGAUUAUGGGGCAACAACAAAUUUUUAAGGAUGUUUCAUUUGCCUAUGCUUGACGGAAUGUUACCAGAUAACUCAUUGCUAUGCAAGUGAAGCCCUUCAAGCUCGGGAAGAUGUUGACACAUAUCAUUAGGCAAACUACCUAAUAGGCUAUUCCUGGAGAGAGCAAUAGUCUUGAGAGAAAAAUGUUGAAGAUCGAAGUCGGAAUCUGAUCUGUAAGGCCUUUAAUUGCUUGAAUAUUAAGCAUUUCCAAACUAAAAAGAUUACCGAUUUCUUCAGGAAUUUGACCUGCAGACAUAGUCGAAACAUCAAGGUGUUAAAUUUCCUAUUUUGUUAGUGUAAAUCAAAGAGGCUUUUUAUUUUUUUUCGUUAUGAAAUAAUAUGGAUAUGUUCGAUUCUAAUCAUAUUUAAGUAUAUAUUAGUUCUUGAAAGAAUGAGUUCUUAUUUUUGGUAUUUAUAUUGCAAAUAUAUAUUUUUUUAAAUUUAAAAGAAGGGAGGGGGCAAAUGUGUUUAAACUAAAGACAUCAAGGAAAAGGCAUACCAAGUAUAAUUGUUUAAGUUGUGUCAAAUUCCCAAUGCUUUUUGGAAUGAUCCCACUAAAUUGAUUAAUAGACAAUUCCAAAAUUUGAAGGUUGCAGCAUUUGUCUAUACUUGAUGGAAUAGAACUUGAUAAUUCAUUUCUACUCAAGUAAAGCUCUUUCAGCUUGGGAAGAUGGACACACAAAUCAUCGGGCAAGCCACCAGAAAGACUAUUAUCACAAAAAUGAAUCCUUUUCAAAGAAGAAAUGUUAAAGAUGGAAGAUGGAACCUGGCCAGAUAAUUGAUUGAAUCCCAAGUUCAAGAUCUCUAGAUUGGACAAGUUGACAAGUGUUUGAGGGAUCGUGCCUGUGAAGUUAUUAUUUCUCAUUUCCAACCUUUGAACUCUGUGCAAGUUCCCAAGCCAUGGUGGAAUUUCCCCAUUAAGACGGUUGUAGCUUAAUCGAAUGAUCCUCAAACGAUGCAAUUGGCCUAAUUCUUUAGCCAGAUGGCCGUAGAAAUUGUUGUUGCUCAAGUCGAUAGAAAAUAGAAAUGAAAGAUUUCCAAGGUGUGGAGGGAUAGUACCCCUAAGAUUCAUGUUUGUAAGAUUAAUCAAAGCUACAACUCUUUCAUGGAUGAUGCCACAAGAAACACCAACCCACUUACAGACAGAGGUAGAGUUCGUCCAAUUGUUUGCCAACACAUUUUGAGGAUCGACAAUGCGAUCUUUAAACUCAAAGAGUGCAAACUGAUCGGAGUUGAGAUUCCGGACUGUCAUAGCCAAGGAAACAAUAGAACAUUGUAUGAAUAAAAGUGAAAGAAGAUGAAAGCAAGUGUUGUAGUUCAUGAUGGCAAGACGAAAUAAGCCAGGAAAAGGGAAGUUGAAUUGAUGAAGAAAUAGCCAGCCAACAUGCUUAAAUAGGCUUCAACCCUUGCACACUUCUCAUACAUAAAGUUCGCUGCCAUUACAACAAGAAAACUCAUAUCUCCAUUCGUACCUAUCCAUACUUUAUUUGACUAACUUUUCCCUAACAAGUGUUCAGUAAGGAGAUAAAUCAGUUUGGAGCUAUUCACCGGCUUCUCCAAUCUUGGUUUCAAACUCCUAACCCAUCAAUUCACUUUAAUUGAAACGAUAUACACGAGUCUUUCGGCUUAUAUUUUUAAUUUAAUUUUUGUUACUUUUCAUAAUAUUUUUUGAGAAAUCCAAAUAUUCCAGUCUGAAAUUUCUUCAUUGCCACGUCUAUCUCCUGGGUAAGUCCGUGGUUAGGCAGCCCACUUUGGGAGCAGGAUUGUAAUUGUAAUUCUAUCCGACUCAUUUUACUAUUUAGAAAUAUAAAAGUAAUAUUAUAUUAUUUUUUAUAUUUUUAUAAAUUUAAUUUUAAUUAUAAUUUUUAAACAAUAAAACGAGUCAUUUGUAUUUGCCUAGUCUAAAUUGAAUCAGGAGUCAAAAAAAUUUUAAUCAUAAUUUACUAUUAUUUUAAUUAAUUAAAAUUUAACCUACUACAACUAGUAGUUGCAGAAAAAAUGUCAUUCCUUUAGAAAAACGAAAAUCCUUUAGAAAAAUGAGAACUUAUGAAGCAUUCAAUAAGAGUCAUUGGAAUAAAUGGUAACGAAAUCAUAAUUCAAUAUAAAGCUAAAAAAUGUACCAAUCUAUAUAAAUAAUGUAAGAUUUGUGAUACCUAAAUUAUUAUAUUUUCCAUAAAUAUAUGAAGAUAUUUUAUUAGGAAAUAAUUUUAUAUAUAAAAUUUUUUAUUUUCUUUUGAUAGAAAUUUAAUUAUGUUAUCUGUAGAAAAAAAUAUUUAUAGAAAUAUUAUUAGUAGAAAAUCAUAAAUUUGUGUGUGGCAAAAAAAAUUCACCACCAAGAAAGGGGCAAAUUAAACAACUUGAAACAAGUCAUUGGUUGUUUAAAAUAUUAGAUAAUAAUUUCAGUGAAGAAUCAUUAAAAUUAUGACAAAAUAACCCUAGAUAUUGUAGUAUUAAAUUGGAAAAUCUCAAUAAUAUUAUUAGAGUAAAACCUAUGAUCUAUCUAAACAAGAUAUAGAAGAUUUUGAUAUACAAAUUAAGGUUAGAAAUCAUGCGGAAAUAAAAAAGAAAAAAAAGCUAGUAUGGUCAUUAAUUAUAAAAGAUUAAAUCAAAAUAUUAUUUUUUUAUAGUUACUUGAAUUAAUCAGGCUAAACAAACAAAAUAUUUUAGUAAAUUUGACUGCAAAUCAGGAUUCUAGCAAAUCAUGAUAACAGAAAAGUCCAAACCUUUAACGGCUUUUAGUGCACCCAAUGGACAUUACCAAUGGAAAGUGAUGUCAUUUCAAUUAUGUGAUGCACCACAAAUCUUCCAAAGACGAAUGGAUUUUAUAUUUAAUAAAUAUAAAAAAAUUCUAUGUAGUCUACAUAGAUGAUAUUUUUUAUAUUUUUAGAUACACUAGAAUUACAUAAGAAACAUUUAAAUAUUAUUUCUUAAGAAUUCAUAAAAUAUAGAAUCAUAUUAAACCCUAAAAAUAUAGAGUUAGAAAAAAGAGAGAGAAUUUUUAUAAUAGUGGAAAUAAAAAAUUGUCCUCAAAAGAUUGAAGAAAAAAAGAACUUCCAACAAUUUCUAAUAUAUUCCUCCCAAAUUUUCAGUUUCAAUUUUAUUACAGAAUUUCUUUGCCGACAAUAAGAAAUUAAGAGCGCUCUUUAAGUUGAAUAUAGUCCGUCAGAUAUGGCUAUCUAUAACAUGGAACCUUUGGUUUUCAAGCUGAAUAGGAGAAUUGAUUCACUUGAUAAGUAUGAAAAAUUGAAACUGCUAAAUUUAAGUGCACUAACUCUGGAUAUCAUCAUUAUUUUUCUGUACAUUAAAGUACCUGUUUGAUAUGCGAUUUCUGCCUCAAACUAUCAACAUCUUUAACAUCCUUUUGCUAUAGUUAGCAUGGGUACUUCCUUUUAGAUUAACAGUUAGGUUUGAACUGUGAAUUAGAUUUCUGUGGCUGCUGGGAUUGAAGAAGUUAGUAUGCGAAUGACAUUGGACAAAUUUGGCAAAGUCUUCUCCAUCAGUGAAGAAAACCCCUUGGCGUAUGAAAAAUGUUCACCAUCUUAGACAUUUGUUUUCUUAUUGUAAGAAUAUUUUUAACAUUGUAACUUUUAACAUUAUUGUAAGAAUAUUUUGAAUUAUACUUCAGUUAUCAAUUUAUAUCAUAUAUCUUUUGUUGAAUUUGAAGUAUAAUUUAUAUUUGCUGUUUUUGGUUAGAUUUCAUGCUAUAGGAAGGGUUGUAUAUGGAUAGAAAUUGAAUGUUACAAAUCUGCCAAAGUUAGUGGCGUUUUUUCAUAAGAGCUGCUAAAGAAUGCUAUUUUUGGCGGUGUUUGUAAUAAAAGAGCCGCUAAAGGUCAUGUUCUUUAGCGAUGUUUGUGGGUAAAGCGCCGCUAAAGAUCAUGUUCUGUAGCUGUGUUUGUGGAUAAAGCGCCGCUAAAGAACAUGACCUUUAGCAGCGUAUUUUCACAUAAACGCCGCAAAAUUUAGCGGCUUUGUCUAUAGCGACUUUUUUUGCAGCGCUUUAAGUUUUAGCGGCGCUUUUAGGCCUAAAAAAGGGCCGCUAAAAGCCUGUUUUGCUGUAGUGAGCAUAUUUACAUUUUCGUCCCAAUUUCAACUAACACCCCAUCUAUUUCCCACUUCCCUUUUUCGGGCAAUUUCAACUAACACCUUCAUAUCAAACAUAACUAUUUUUCAAUUUUUCUUCUUUAUUUCAUUAAUAAAAUUAUCAAUCUAUUUGUUUUUAAAUAUAUAAUUUCAUUAAUAUUUUUUAAAUUAUAAUAUAAGAGUUGUUGUUUAUUUAUAGUUUUAUUACAUUAUUUACUCUCUCUUUUCUAUCAAGUUUUUUAAAUUAUAAUAUAAGAUUUAUUUUAUCAAUUUGUGGCUUAUCCAGUAUUCAUCUAUUUUAAUAAUAACUUGAGUUCCAGUCAUUAUCAUACCAGAAAGAGUUCCAUUUAUUCUUUAUCGUAAAUUUUAUAAAAAAAUAUACAUUUUAUUAUAAUACUAUAUGUGUUACGAAUAAUAUUUUAUUGUGGAUGCCCAUAAUUUUCAAAGUUGUAACCUCUAAUGUAGUAACCUUAAUGAAAUUAUGAGGCUUUUAUAUUGUAAUCAAGCCUCUAUUUAUUCUUUGUAACUUAAACAGAAGCAUAUUUUCUAUUAUAUUGAUAUUUUUUAUAGAUAUAUAUAUAUAUAUAAGGAAUCAAAUAAAAAGUUAUUUACCUUUCUAUUAUAUUGAUAUUUUCUAUUUGAUUUGUUCUUUUCUUUCACUAUUCCAUAAUAUAUUAUCAGUACGAUUUUAACCAAGAGUAACAUGUUAUUAGAUUGUGUCAAAAUUUUGUUGAGAAUCAUUAGAUUGUUUCCUUUUUCUUCUAUUUAGCCCCAAAUUGCACCCCUACACAAAAUUCAACAAAAACAUGGAAAAAUUAGUGGUGCACUCUCAUAAAUUAACCAAUUUAAUUACAUAAAAUAUGUAACUUUAGCAUUUUAUCAAUCAUGUUCUUUAGCGGCAUUUGUGGGUAAAGCGCCGCUAAAGGUCAUAUUCUUUAGCAGCGUUUGUGAUAAAAGUGCCACUAAAUAUCAUGUUCUUUAGCGGCGUUUGUGGAUAAAGCGCCGCUAAAGAACAUGACGUUUAGCAGCAUUUUUUUACAUAAACGUUGUAAAAUUUAGCGGCGUUGUCUAUAGCGACGUUUUUUGCGGUGCUUUCAAAUAGUUUUAGCGGCGCUUGUAGGCCUAAAAAAAUGCCGCUAAAAGUCUGUUUUGCUGUAUGAGCAUAUUUACAUUUUCGUCCCAAUUUCAACUAACACCCCAUCUAUUUCCCACUUCCCUUUUUCAGCCAAUUUCAACUAACACCUUCAUUUCAAACGUAAUUGUUUUUCGAUUUUUCCUCUUUAUUUCAUUAAUAAAAUUAUCAAUCUAUUUGUAUUUUAAAUAUAUAAUUUUAUUAAUAUUUUUUAAUUAUAAUAUAAGAGUUUUUGUUUAUUUAUAGUUUUAUUAUAUUAUUUACUCUCUUUUUUCUAUCAAGCUUUUUAAAUUAUAAUAUAAGAUUUAUUUUAUCAAAUGGUGGCUUAUCGAGUAUUCAUCUAUUUUAAUAAUAACUUGAGUUCCAAUCAUUAUCAUACCAGAAAGAGUUCCAUUUAUUCUUUAUCGUAAAUUUUAUAAAAAAAUAUAUAUUUUAUUAUAAUACUAUAUGUGUUAGGAAUAAUAUUUUAUUGUGGAUGCCCAUAAUUUUCAAAGUUGUAACCUCUAAUGUAGUAACCUCAAUGAAAUUAUGAGGCUUUUAUAUUGUAAUCAAGCCUCUAUUUAUUCUUUGUAACUUAAACAGAAGCAUAUUUUCUAUUAUAUUGAUAUUUUUUUAUAGAGAUAUAUACAUAAGGAAUCAAAUAAAAAGUUAUUUACCUUUCUAUUAUAUUGAUAUUUUCUAUUUGAUUUGUUCUUUUCUUUCACUAUUCCAUAAUAUAUUAUCAGUACGAUUUUAAUCAAGAGUAACAUUGUAUUAGAUUGUGUCAAAAUUUUGUUGGACUUCAAGUAUUGGAAUUUAAUUGUUUAAGUUAAGAAUCAUUAGAAUCAAUGGCUAUUUGAGAUAUGCUUGAGGAUGAUCUCAUUCUAUUCAUCACAAAGGUGGAGGUUAGAAAAUCUUUAUGUUUAAACAUUUAUAGCUUUAAAGUUAUUUUAACCUCUUAUUGUGACCUUAUAAUAUUUUGUAAUUUUUUGUAUUAUGGUAUAUAAAAAAAAUCUAACCAUAGUGAUUGAUUAGUAAUAUGAAUUUGUUAUUUGUUAUGUUUAAUAUAUAUUUUAUUUAUACUUAUUCAUUUUAUUUUUAUAUGAGUAAAUGAAGUGUUUGAAGAUUCGAAAUUUUUAUCAUCCAAGUUGAAAAUAAGUGCAAAAGUGUACAUUAUUUAAAAUAAAUUACGCAUUCAUUAAUGUUAUAUGAUAAAAUCAUUACAUGUUCUAAAGAACUAAUAUUGCAUCAAACUGUAAAAAGCUCUUGAAGAGUUAAUAUUUUACCUCCUUGUGAUACAAAAUCAUAUACAAUAUGAUAUUAUUUUUCAAAUCGAGUAGAUAUAUGUUGAGGGAAAUCUUUAUGUGGUUUACAUUAAAACCAUGGAUAGAAAUGACAUGAGAUACUCGUGUAUUUUUAUUAUAAAUAUUCCUUGAAGGAAGACACUUCACUUGUAUGAUUGACAUAUGAGAUAGUGGCAAGAAGUUCAUAGUGUUGGUAUGGUCGUCUAGAUCAUCUCAAAUCAAUAAUGAUGCAAAAUAAUUUGAAGAGAAUUUAUAUGAUUUUAUUGAAGAAUGAGAAGAUAUUUUCAUUUUGAUAAUUGUCAUCAAUACUAGUUCUUUGGAAAAAAAAUAUUGAACUAACAUAAAGUUAGAGGUUGGUUGCAUUUUUUGAUGAUAUCCAAAUAAUAUAUGAGCUCAUGUAUCACAUGUAUGCAACCCAAAGUUUACAGUAUUAUUUCUUGAAAUAAUUUGAUUCUACACAAUCUCUAUAGUAUGCAAUUUGUGCUAACAACGUUGGUGCAUUAUAUCCUAAGCUUGAUUUUCGUAGUUUUAGCUGAGAUAAUAUUAAGUUGUCUAUGCCUAUAUAUGUUAUACUUAAUGGUUAGCAAAAUUGUGCCUCCAUUUAAUUGCUUAACCAUUAAUAUAAGAAUAACUUUAAAAUAAGCAUGUAAUUUUAUUUGCAUAGAGUCAACAUGUAAGAAACAUUUGCCCCAUGAGAAUUGGCUUUCAUUUAUAAGCCAAUAGGUUUCAUAUGACUAUUUGGAUGUAAAAUAUCUAUUUUAUAUUCCACCAUAAUGCACUAAGAUGGUCCAUCAAGUAUGAAGUUGAGAAAAUUUAGAAUUUUUAUUUGAUGGUAAAAGUUGAAAAGAGAUAUAUACUUAUAAUUUUGAAAAAAAUAGUCAUGUUGCAAAUUUUUCUCAAUAUUAGGGGGAGACAAGUUGGACAAAUAAGGAUAAUUAUGUCAUCACUUUUUGUGAUCCCUCACUAAUAUUAUGUGCACAAAGUUUGAAGGAAAAAAGUAUUUGCUAGACAUGUUUAGUGAUGACACUUAGAGAUUGUAUAUACUAGAUGAUACAUAUACCAGCUAAAAUGUUCCAAAUAAUUAUGAGUCCUAGAAGGACAUAGUGAUAAAAAUAAUUUUUGGGCACGCUAGAAGGAUAAAAAACUAGUUCAUUCUAUAAAUCAAAAAAUUCUUGAAAGAAAAGAGUAAGAAAUGAAGCUGGCCACACAUUAAAGGAAACGAGUACUCAUGAAGAGACCUAAGGCAUAACUUUUAAUAAAACCCCAAAAGAGGUUCAAUACAUGGAAUUAUGAAUAUAAUAAGAUAUCUCGAUUAGUUAUAUCAUAACUAAAGAUGAUGGGGUUGAUAAAAGGAAAUUGUUGUUAACAACGAUAAUCUAAGUAGAACAUUUCAAUAUUAUGGUAAAAUGAGUAUUUUGAAUGAAAAUAUACUUGAAAGUAUUUAGAUGGGAACAACUCAUCAAAAUAAAUAGACGUUUCUAUUAUAACUUAUGAAAUGUGUCUCGGACAUGAAGUCCAAACAUUCGACAGGUGUAAAGCCAAGUGGAGUAUAUGUUAGCAUAAUAGUGAAAAAAUACAAAUCAUAAUAUAUAAAAUUGACUUGUAAGACAAACUUUCCCAAGACACUUGAUUUUGAUUAUGAAAAAUGAUUAAUUUGUGAUCUUAUCAAUUGAACAUACUUUGUAUAAUCAACAAAUUAUUAAUUAACCUCAUUUAACCAAUUUCCUUCAACACAUUUCAAAUCAAAUUAAUGUGUUGAGCACGCCCUUAACCCUUUUUCUUGAUUCAUUGCAUAGUCUAUUUCCAAGUACCAUAAUCAUCAACAUUUCAAUAUAUAAAGUCAUAACAUAAUGAAUCAUAGUUAGAAUUUUUUUUACCCUAUUAACCAAGUAUGGAACAAAAAUAAAAACCUAAUUUGUCAAGCUCAUUCAAUCAGCUUAUAUAUUAUAAGAAGAGCCUAAGUAUAAAUCCUAUACAUGAUUUCAAAUUCAACUAUUUAUAUUUGAGAUUCAAUUUAAAAUUCAUACUGAAAUUAUCAAAUUAACUCGUAAGCUACUCACGCUAAACAUUAAGGUACUCGAAUUCAAGUGGCUAGAUAUCAUAAACACUUUUAGCUUGUAAAACUAUUUCUAAGGGUCAGCCCAGAAUCAUGGUUGAACCCAAAAUCUGGUAACAAAAAUUUAAUUGAGCCAUCAGCCUAAAACAAAAAAGGCUUAAAAGGUUGGCACCCGAACAAUCAAAGAUAAACACCACCAUAUGCCACUCCCUGAAUCCGAUACAUACAAUAACACCCUUCACCACUUUUAUUCUUCUCCUUUUUUUUAACCUCAAUUUGGAUGGUCGCAUUUCUCUUUUUAGUGCUUUAUAGGGUUUGGGCUUUCAGAAUCCUCAGAGAUGCAAUUCAUGGAUCCCUCUAAGAAAUGCAAGCUUGAUGAAAAUGGUAUUAUUUCAACGGCAUCAGAACCUGACCCAAUCACCAAACUAACCCCACAAGAUGGCCGCAAGCUAAUCGAGCAAUUUAUCGUCGAUCAACUCCUUGACGUCCUCCAAGAUGCUGUUUGUUGUCACCUUGAUGUUCUUUCCGCCGUACACUCUAUUGCCGAUCAAGAUCCAUCUCAAAGGAAGCUUUUCAUCCGUGGUUGGGUUGGGAUACUACAACCCAACCCAACCCACAUUAGCAUACUACCAUGCGGUAACUUCUAGUGAUUUCUGUCUGUAACAUUAGACAGGUUAACAGUUAAAUCGUUCAACUGAAAGAUUUCUUUGAAGGAAGAGGUCAAUUGAUUUUUUUUGGAAUCAUUGUGUACUCAGUUGCAUUUAAGACGGGUAUCAUUCAUAAAGUAUAUAUCUACAUCAAGAAUGGUAGCCUCUUAUAUUAUAUUCAUGUAUUUAUUUUGCAUCUUUAAUUAUAAUAGGAUUUUUUUUGUUUAUUUAUAGUUUUAAUUAUAAUAUUUUUUAAAUAUGCCAAAGUAAAUUAUGUACCAAUUUUAAACUUCUCCUAGGUAAUUUAACGUAAGGGCAUUUAUGUUAUUUUACCACUUAUGAUAAAACUAACCUAAUUUUAGAUCUAAGUGUUUACCAACCUUCUUUUAGUCAAAUUAUGCAAGCCUAAAAUUUUUAGCUUAAUUUGAGUUUGUUUACUAUGUCUAAUUCAAGUUUUAUUAUUAAGAACUAAAUUGUAACUUAAACAAAUUAGAAUACCAAUUUAAAGAGACAAAAAUUCAAAGCCCCAAAACCCACACGGGCAUGUGGGUAAGUGACACAGGCGUGUGGAAACUGGAGCUAUCACACACGGGUGAGUGGGACUGAAAAAUAUGAAAUAAAUUAAUCCAUUUAAAUUUCCAACAACCAUGCUAUACUACCAAACCAAAUAAUGUUAGAAGCUUUGAAUAGGGGCGAAUCUUAAAAAAAAUAGAAGAAUUAGAAUUAAAUUAUAAAAUUUUGAGAAGUUGUCAUGUAUUAAUUUAUUAUUUUUUAAAGGGUCUUAAUAGAUUUUUUUUCCCCAUUUUGGUUUGGCCAAUACCCCUGUCUGCCUCUUUCAAUUUGCUUCAACCCUUAGCCCAAUAUUCGAUUUGUUGUGGAAGUUUGACGCAUAAAAAUUCCUUUUUUAGAGGUUUAAAUUAUAAAUUUUUAUUAACAAAAUAUAAAAGAAAAAAACAUGUGUAGACAAGCCAAGAAACCUUUGGGAUCAUACAGGUGAUUUUGAGAUGUUCAUGGUUAUUUUGGUGGAGAGGGUAAAAAAGAAACAAAUGAUUCAUUAUAUAUGAUAUAAUUAUGAAAUUCAAGCCAUAUAUUGUAUGUUUCAUCCAUACAAAUUUCUUGUAGCAUUAAAUGACUCGUAGGCUUGCUGAAUUUCUUUGAAAGGCCCAAAGGCAAUUUAACAUUCACAAAAUAAUCUCUAAAUAGUGUAAAGACAAAUCAAAUCCACAGUAGCAUUAGAGUUGAUUAAGCUAAGCAUUGGCAAAUAUUACUUUGAUUUUGCAUGCAAUAUUGGCAAAACCCCCUCUUACAUUAGAAAAACAACAUAAUCCAUGAAACAUUGAUAGCCCAAUACAAAUUUCAUCGAGAAAAAAGUCUCUUUGUUUUGUAGAACAUGAUAGUAAAGAUGUGGAGUUUCGUUCUUCUUAUUGGCCUCCUUUAGUUUUCCUUGAUCAACAACCACUAGCCAAAAACACAAUUAGAUUAGAUUAUGAAUGAUACUUUCAACUAUGACAAUAUUAAAUACAAACCACUCUAAAUAACUCUAAAUAAAUGGAAAGCAGCAAAUUACCAGACGAGGCAAGCUAGCUCAAUUAAGACCAUUGUGUUAUACUUGUCUCUGAAUUGAAAAAUUUAGAAGGAAAUAAAGAGAAAGACUUAGAAAAUACUUGAAAACAGAAAAAAAAAUUAUGUCAUUUAAAAUAAAAAAUUUCUAUUCAAGCCAUUUAAAAUUUGUAAGAUUUUUAAAAUUUUAAAAUGAUAAAGGUAAAAUUGUACUUUGGCACCCCAAAAAUGAUAAAACUUUGAUUUAAUUAUUUAAAAAUUAUAAAAAUAUAGGCUAUUAAAAUGGUGAAAUUAUAUUUUUACUAUAGUAAAAAUUACAAUUUAAUUUCACCCCUAAAAGGAUUUUCUGGCUUCGCACCUAAUAAAAUCUUUGGCAAAAGACUAAAAUAAAAUUAUACCAUGAAUGGAAAAAGAAACUAAUAAAAUCCAAUCUAACAAAGAAAAUAACUUGAUGUCCAAAAGCUACCAUAAACCGUAAUUCAUGGGAAGGCUUGUUGCUUAUUUUAUUGGUUUCCAUUUUGAAAGAAGUUUGAAUUUUGAAGAGAGCCUACUACGUGAAAGCAAAAGAAAAAAAAAUAGUUUAUAUGAUUAAAAUUCCAGAAUAGAUUAAAAAUGUUGAAUUAAAGAUAAAAUUAAGUGUGAAUUAAUAACCACAAGUGUACUCUUUACUCACCAUCUCUGUUAAAAAUGUUGGAUGUUGUUUAGCAACCUUUGUUUGAUUUUCUUCAGCUCAACCACAACAUCUUUCAUAUCUUUUCUUUCUUCUGGUAACUCAGCUGAACAAUUCAAAGCCAACUCCAUGAUAGAUGAAAUACAAUUUGCUUUAACAACAAUGUACUCAUCCUCUCUUCUUAAUAAAUCAACAUCUGCAAUUUCUAUCGCUCCUUUAGGCAAUGAUCUUUCCAUCCAAUGCCUUAUACUCUCUUCUUCAACAAAAACCUUAUCAGUUGGCUUUUUCUUUGUGAAAGUUUCUAUAAGGACGAUCCCAUAACUAUAGACGUCAGAUUUUAUAGAAACAAUUCCUGCUGAUCCAAAUUCUGCAUUUCAAGUAUAAUUAGAACAUCAUUCAUCCUCAAUUAUUUCUAAAACGCUUAUUCAAAUAUCUAUCCACAUACACGUGAAACAAGAAUAUAAAAUACAAAUUAGGAAAAUAAUCAUACAAAAAUAAAAAAAAGAAUUCACCUGGUGCCAUAUACCCAAUAGUUGCAAGAGUCAUGGUUUGCUUCAUUACUUCACCUUCUCCCAACAAUUUGGCAACGCCAAAAUCUCCAACAUGUGCAACCAUGUCUUCAUCUAGUAAAAUAUUGCUUGGUUUUAUGUCACAAUGAAUUAUAGGUGUUGGAUGUCCAUUGUGGAGGUGUUCUAUAGCUACCGCAACAUCUAUCAUUAUGUCGACCCUUUGUAUGAUACCAAGGAAACAAUUUUCAGAAUGUAACCAUUUCUCAAGGUUUCCAUUAGACAUGUAAUCAAGCACCAAGGCUUUGAAGUCAACACUUGAGCAGUAAGUAAUGACCUUCACAAUAUUACGAUGAACUAUAUUAAGCAUAGCAUCACAUUCAAUGUCAAAACUCCUAAAUGCUCCCUCUGUUUGCAAAUUGAAAACUUUUAUUGCAACUUCCAUUCCAUCUGAAAGCCUCCCUUUAUAUACAUAUCCAAAACUCCCUGAACCAAGCGUAUUGCUUUCCUCAAAUCCAUUAGUUGCUCGUGAAAGUUCAGCAUGUGAAAUUCUUCUCAGUGUCUUCAAAGACAACAAAUCAUCUUUAACUGGUAGAGCUGUACUCCUUUGGCAUCUUCUAUACAUAAUAGUUAAGACUAUUAGUACUAGGACAAUACCAAUUGUUGGUAAACCAUACCUAAAAGCAUGCAAUAUAAUCAUUUGGGAGUUUUUGUGGAUGUCAUUUUUGCAAGGUGGGACUAGCAAUCUAGGUGGACCACAAAGUGCACAAUUAUUCAUGAAUGAUGUGCUAGAAAAGUUUGAAAAACAUCCUUUGCUGGGAAUUUCCCCUUCAAGUCUAUUGAAAGACACAUUAAAAUACUUUAGAUAUAAAAGCUUUUCCAAAGAUUUGGGAAUGACUCCAGAGAGAUUGUUAUUGCAUAAAUCCAAGAAUUCCAAACUAAUCAACCCAUCAAAUGAUUCAGGGAUAUGACCAUGUAGUAUAUUAUUUGAUAAAUCUAAUGAAACCAAAGUUUGAAGACCCCCAAAUGUGGAUAAGAUAUCGCCCAUGAGAAGAUUCCUUGAUAAAUUUAGUCUCAGUAGACUCCUAAAGUUUCCAACAUCAAUAGCAUGCGAAUUGUGAAGAUGGUUUGAUGAUAAAUCUAUUUCUAAGAUAUCUUUAAGAUUCCAUAAAGUUGAGGGUAUUGCGGAACUCAAUUUGUUGGAAUCUAACCAAAGAUAUCUCAAAGCAGAAAUAUUACCUAAACAAGAGGGUAUGGAUCCAUGCAGCUUAUUCAACCCUAAAUACAUCUUGAAUAGUCUCUCCAAACCACAGAGGCUUUCUGGGAUAGGCCCUUCUAAUUUAUUAGAGGAAAGAAAUAGACCUUGGAGAUUUAUCAUUCCUCCUAUUGAUGCUGGAAUCAAUCCACUUAAUUUAUUAUAGCCAAGUUGUAAAACCAACAUGUUGCUUAAGUUACCUAUUUCCAUAGGAAUAAUGCCUUGAAGCUCACACUCUGUGGCACGAAAGUAUUGAAGGGAUUUUGAAAGGUUCCCGAAAUAAGUAGGAAGAACGCCACUCAAUGGAUUUCCUGAAACAAUUAUUCUUUUCAAAUGCUUGCAAUUCGUCAAAGAAGAAAGAAAGCUCCACUCAUGAUCAGUAGCAGAUCCUGUGAUCAAAUUAUUGUUUACGAUUCCGAACCAUUCAAGGUGUCUUAAGCUGCCAAGCAUUUUAGGGAUUGGGCCAGAGAAUAAGUUUUCUGACAAGGAUAGAAUCUUAAGCAUGGAAGCAUUGGAGAUAGAGUUGGGAAUGUUUCCGCUAAGUUUAUUUCCCCACAGUAAAAGAAUCUGAAGCUUUGGAGCAUUGGUAAUGGGUGGUAAAUUACCUGUAAAAUAGCAUCUUUUAGAAAACAUAUUCAUUGAAUACCAAAUUCACAAAAUAUAUAAUACAUUAAAAUAAAAACUGUAAAACUUUAAAUCAAUUAAGAAUAAAAUUUUGGCAUGGAAAAAUGUGAUGAAAUCAAUUAGAAAGUUGAGACAUAAUAAGAAGUUUUGAGUAGUAAUUAGUCCUUGUGAUUUGUAUAGACAAAACAUAUAAUACACUGAUAAUUUUUUUAAAAUAUUGUAAAACCUGAAAUAAAAUAAAAAAUAAAAGUUUGGCACAAGAAUGUGGCAUCUAAUCAUUCUUAAAAAUAAGACUAACAUUAAAUAAUAAUUAGUUAUGAUUUGAGAAACAAAAAUGUUAAAGAUGUAAACUGGUAUGAUUUUUAUCUAUUGGGUUAAUUAUUUAUUUUUAUUAAAUUAUAUAUAGUGUAAAAUUUAAAGAUUAUUAUUUGCUCAAAAUUUUUGUAUUUUUCGUAUAUUUGAAAUUUAAUCUUUAUAUUUUUUUAUUUUCUGUGAUUUAGUCUCUCUACUUUUUAAAUUGAAAAUUUUAAGUUUAUUUAUUAACACUGUUAAAAAGUUUUUGUGUUAGUAUGGCAUUUUGAAAAAUAAAAUAAACUUGAUAUCUAUGUUUUUAAUUAUUCCAAAUACUGUUUUACUAUUCCAAGAUAAAUUAUUUGUGUCUAGACCAAUAUCUGAAGAACUAUUGUUGCAUGUUUAAUUAUUCUAAAGAAUUGUUGAUUGAGUCUUAGUUGAAGUGCACUAUUCUCCUAUUUAUGAAUUGGGGAGUUGAUAAAGUACUAAAUUUUGAUAUAUUUUAAAAAAUUAAAAAUUUAUUAAAAUAUUUUUAUAAAAAUUGAUUGUACCAAAAUAUACAAUUUUAAUAUCAAAUUUUUAAUUUUUUAAAAAUAUUAGCGAAUAUAUACUUUAUUUCAAGUUACACAAUUUUUACUAGUUUUUAACUUUUUUUUUAAAUUUUUAUCGUCUUUUAUAAUUUCAUAUAAUUUUUUAUAAUUUUUUACAAUAUUUACAAUUUCUAACAAUUUUUAAUAAUUUUAUUAUUUAUUAUAAAUUUAAAAAUUAACAAAUUUUUAUUUUUUUAAAACAAUUAUAUAUUUAUAAUGUAGUUAUUUUUUUAUAAUUUUUUUUGAAAUUUAAAGAUUUUUUUGGUUUUUUCUAGAUGAUGAUGCCAUCAUGAUGUCAUCAUAUGCCACAUGGCAAUUUAUAAUUAGUUGACUAUCUCAAUCUAUUUUUUUAACGUCCAAUGGACUAAAACAAGAACACCUGAUAAUGUUAGAGACUACACUAGGAAUGUUUGAUAAUAUUAGGUACUAAAGUGGGCAAAAAAAAUUAAGGACUAUAUUAAAAAUAUAUCUAUAAUAUAUAUAAAUGCAUGGAUUUUGAGAAACUUUUGAAAUGACAAAUAUAUAGUCUUUGUUUUUUUUUACUAUAUUAUUGAAUUUUUUAUUUUAAAUAUUUUUUUAUUACUUUUAAGAUUUAUCAUAUGUAUGGAUAAAAAUUUUGGUUUUACUAAAAUAUUUGGUUAAAUAAAUUCACUUUAUAAAAAAAUUUAGCAUCCUUAUAAAUAACAAUUUUGAUUCCAUUAAAAAAAUUAUUUAAUAAUAUAUAAUAAAAAUUUAAAAUUUAUAUUGAAUCACUUUAUACUUAAAUUAUUAUUAGAAACUUUAUCAUACACAUAUGUGUAUGAGAACCACGUUUUCAGAACUUAAAUUUGUGUUCUAAAAUAACUUAUGAUAAAUAAUUAAAUGUAUAAUUUGAAAUUAUAUUGAAAUAAAAAUAGAUUAAAUUGUAAGUAAAACAUAUAUAAUUUAAACAUAUGAAUACAUCAAAUUAAAAAUACUAAAUGAAUACAUUUAUUUAUGAUGAUGUUGUUGUCAAUUCAUAAGUUGGUGUCGAGUUAAUUUGUGACAUCAUAAUUUUAAGUGAUAAAUUUAAGGUUUUAUGUAUUGAUGUCGAUUCAAAUAUCACCAUAAUUUUUUUAAAUAAAAAACUAAAGCACCCUCAAAUAAUAUAACUUAUAUUAAAUAUGAAAGGGUAUUUUUGUAAUUUCUCUAACGAGUUGGUGCCCGGUUGACUCAUGACACCAACUCAAUCAAAAGCUUCAAUAAUAAUAUAGAUAUUCACGUUUAAAAAAAGUACUUUAGUUCGAAAUAAUUAUAUAACAAGUAAUUUUAUAAUUGAUGAAUAAUUUUAUAAAAAUAUAUUUAUAUAAUCUAAUAUAUUAUAUUUAUAUUAAUUAUAUAUCAUCUACAAACUUUGAAGAUCAAUUUAUUAAGUAUCAGGAAAAGAAAAAAUGAAAUUGAAUUAACACUAAAUCAAUUUUUAGAUUUUGUACAGAUGAUUUAAUGAUGAUAAAAACAUUAUUAGCACUAUUUUUGAAUUAACAAAAAAUUAGUGAUAUAUUUUAAUUAUAUUUUUUAUUUUUUAUUUUUAAUAAUAUUUUUUUAAUUAUAUGAAGUAAAAUUAUAUUGUAUACUAAAUAUGGUACAUAUACUUUAAUUAAAACUUGAAAAAUUAUUAUAUAAAUUAAUAUAUUUUAAUUAUAUUCAACCAUUUGAAUAACAAAAUUAAAAAAAACUAAUUAGAAUUAUUUACUUUUUAAAGUUUAAUGGAAAAUAAAAAAUUAAAAAUAAAUCAAUUCAUAUAAAUCUUAUUGUUUAUUAUCAGAUUAAAAUGAUAAAAGUAUAUGACAUACAUAGAAGAAACAAAUUCAACACAAUGUUUUUGGAGUUUGGAAAAAAUUAAAGUGAAAAACAUACCUUCUAAUUUGUUGUUAAAUAGAUCUAUUUCUUCGAGCGUAGUUGAAUUAAAAAUACUUGAUGGAAUCUGACCUGCACACAUAGUCGAAAAUUGAAGUGAAAUCAAACUCUUUUGUGAAAAAAAUAUUACCAGAUAAUUCAUUCCAACCCAGGUAAAGCCCUUCAAGCUUGGGAAGAUGUUGACACAUAUCAUUAAGCAAACUACCUGAUAGGCUAUUGUUGGAGAGAUCAAUGGUCUUCAGAGAAGAAAUGUUGAAGAUCGAAGUUGGAAUCUGACCUGUAAGGCCUUUAAUUGCUUUAAUACUAAGCAUCUCCAAACCAAGAAGAUUACCGAUUUCCUCGGGAAUUUGACCUGCACACAUAGUCAAAAAAUCAAGGUGUCAAACUAUCUAUUUUGUUAGCAUAAGUCAAAGAGGUUUUCUUUUCUGUUCUACAGUAAUUUGAAGAUGUUAGAUUUUAAUAUAUUUCAGCAUAUGUUUUUCAUCAAAUGAAAUAAAAAGUUUUUCCUUUUUAUUAUCUAUUACAAGUCAAACUCUUUUAUAAAAAAAAAUACUUUAAAUUCAAGAAAUCAAGGAAAUUGAUUACCUUCUAGAUUAUUAAACCGCAAAUAUAAUUCCAGGAGUCGUGUUAGAUUUCCAAUACUUCUUGGAAUGAUCCCCGUCAAUUGAUUCAAGGACAAGGACAAAUUUUUAAGGUUGCUGCAUUUUCCCAUACUUGACGGAAUGUUACCAGAUAACUCGUUGCUAUGCAAGUAAAGCACUUCAAGCUUGGGAAGAUGUUGACACAUAUCAUUAGGCAAACUACCUGAUAGGCUAUUGUUGGAGAGAACAAUGGUCUUCAGAGCAGAAAUGUUGAAGAUCGAAGUUGGAAUCUGACCUGUAAGGCCUUUAAUUGCUUGAAUAUUAAGCAUUUCCAAACCAAGAAGAUUACCGAUUUCCUCAGGAAUUUGACCUGCACACAUGGUCGAAAAAUCAAGGUGUCAAACUACCUAUUUUGUUAGCAUAAGUCAAAGAGGUUUUCUUUUCUGUUCUACAGUAAUUUGAAGAUGUUAGAUUUUAAUAUAUUUCAGCAUAUGUUUUUCAUCAAAUGAAAUAAAAAGUUUUUCCUUUUUAUUAUCUAUUACAAGUCAAACUCUUUUAUAAAAAAAAUACUUUAAAUUCAAGAAAUCAAGGAAAUUGAUUACCUUCUAGAUUAUUAAACCCCAAAUAUAAUUCCAGGAGUCGUGUUAGAUUUCCAAUACUUCUUGGAAUGAUCCCCGUCAAUUGAUUCAAGGACAAGGACAAAUUUUUAAGGUUGCUGCAUUUUCCCAUACUUGACGGAAUGUUACUAGAUAACUCGUUGCUAUGCAAGUAAAGCACUUCAAGCUUGGGAAGAUGUUGACACAUAUCAUUAGGCAAACUAUCUGAUAGGCUAUUGUUGGAGAGAACAAUGGUCUUCAGAGCAGAAAUGUUGAAGAUCGAAGUUGGAAUCUGACCUGUAAGGCCUUUAAUUGCUUGAAUAUUAAGCAUUUCCAAACCAAGAAGAUUACCGAUUUCCUCAGGAAUUUGACCUGCACACAUGGUCGAAAAAUCAAGGUGUCAAACUACCUAUUUUGUUAGCAUAAGUCAAAGAGGUUUUCUUUUCUGUUCUACAGUAAUUUGAAGAUGUUAGAUUUUAAUAUAUUUCAGCAUAUGUUUUUCAUCAAAUGAAAUAAAAAGUUUUUCCUUUUUAUUAUCUAUUACAAGUCAAACUCUUUUAUAAAAAAAAUACUUUAAAUUCAAGAAAUCAAGGAAAUUGAUUACCUUCUAGAUUAUUAAACCCCAAAUAUAAUUCCAGGAGUCGUGUUAGAUUUCCAAUACUUCUUGGAAUGAUCCCCAUAAAUUGAUUAUAGGAGAAGGACAAUUUUUUUAAGUUGCUGCAUUUGCCCAUACUUGACGGAAUGUUACUAGAUAAAUCAUUCCGACUCAGGUGAAGCCCUUCAAGCUUGGGAAGAUAUUGACACAUAUCAUUAGGCAAACUACCUGAUAGGCUAUUGCUGGAGAUAUCAAUAAUCUUCAGAGAAGAAAUCUUUAAGAUGGAAGAUGGAACCUGACCAGAUAAUUGAUUGAAUCCCAAGUUUAAGAUCACUAGAUUAGACAUGUUAACAAGUGUUUCAGGGAUUGUGCCUGUAAAGUUAUUAUUUUUCAUUUUUAGCCUUCGAACUCUCUGUAAGUUCCCAAGCCAUGAUGGAAUUUCCCCAUUCAGACGGUUGUAGCUUAAUUGAAGGAUCCUCAAACGAUGCAAUUGGCCCAAUUCUUUAGGGAGAUGGCCAUAGAAAUGGUUGCUACUCAAGUCGAGAGAGAGUAGAAAUGAAAGAUUUCCAAGGUGUGGAGGGAUAGUACCCCUAAGAUUCAUGCUUGUAAGAUUCAAAGCUAUAACUCUUUUAUGGAGGAUGCCACAAGAAACACCAGUCCAAUUGCAAACAGAGGUUGAGGCCAUCCAAUUGUCUGCCAAGACAUUUUGAGGAUCGGCAAUGCGAUCCUUAAACUCGAGAAGUGCAAAUUGAUCGGAGUUGAGAUUCUUGGCUGUCAUAGCCAAGCAAAGUACGGAACAUGAUAUGAAUAAAGCUAAGAGAAGAUGAAAGCAAGUUUUGUAGUUCAUGAUUGCAAGACGGAAUAAGGCAAGAAAAUAAAAAAAGUAGGAAAAGGGAAGUUGAGUUGAUAAAAU